AACGGAUAUCUUUGUAUCUUUUUUCUUUUUGUUAUUUCUAACUCAUAUUUAUGAGAUAAUAAAAUAUGACAAAAGCUAUACCAAAAAUAGGUUCACGUAAGAAAGUGCGUAUUGGUUUGCGUAGGAAUGCCCGUUUUAGUUUACGGAAGAGUGCACGUAGAAUAACAAAAGGGAUUAUUCAUGUUCAAGCUAGUUUCAACAAUACCAUUAUAACCGUUACAGACCCACAAGGUCGGGUCGUUUUCUGGUCCUCCGCAGGUACUUGUGGAUUCAAAAGCUCAAGAAAAGCAUCACCCUAUGCUGGUCAAAGAACAGCAGUAGAUGCUAUUCGUACAGUGGGUUUGCAACGAGCAGAAGUUAUGGUAAAAGGUGCUGGUAGCGGAAGAGAUGCCGCAUUACGAGCCAUUGCUAAAAGUGGUGUACGGUUAAGUUAUAUACGCGAUGUAACACCUAUGCCGCAUAAUGGAUGUCGACCUCCUAAAAAAAGACGUCUGUAAAAAAAAUGAAACCGCUUUCAAGAGAAAUAAACGAUUCAAUGAUCAAAUAAUACUAGUCUGUUAUGGUUCGAGAAGAGAUAACAGGAUCCACUCAAACACUAGAGUGGAAGUGUGUUGAAUCAAGAGUAGAUAGUAAACGUCUUUAUUAUGGUCGUUUCAUUCUGUCUCCGCUUAGAAAAGGUCAAGCGGAUACUGUCGGUAUUGCCUUGCGAAGAGCUUUACUUGGAGAAAUAGAAGGAACAUGUAUCACACGCGCCAAAUUUGGGAACGUGCCACAUGAAUAUUCCACAAUAGUAGGUAUUGAAGAAUCCAUACAAGAAAUUUUACUAAAUUUGAAAGAAAUUGUAUUGAGAAGUAAUCUCUAUGGAGUUAUAGACGCAUCAAUUUGCGUCAAAGGUCCUAGAUACAUAACCGCUCAAGAUAUAAUCUUACCGCCUUCCGUAGAAAUCGUUGAUACGACACAACCUAUAGCUAACUUGAGAGAACCCGUUGAUUUCUGUAUUGAGUUACAGAUCAAGAGAGAUCGCGCAUAUCAUACGGAACUCAGAAAGAACUCUCAAGAUGGAAGUUAUCCUAUAGAUGCUGUAUUCAUGCCUGUUCGAAAUGUGAAUUAUAGUAUUUUUUCUUGUGGGAAUGGAAAUGAAAAACACGAGAUACUUUUUUUAGAAAUAUGGACAAAUGGAAGUUUAACUCCUAAAGAAGCGCUUUAUGAAGCUUCUCGUAAUUUGAUUGAUUUAUUUCUUCCUUUUCUACACACAGAGGAAGAGGGCACUAGUUUCGAAGAAAAUAAAAACAGGUUAACUCCACCCCUUUUAACCUUUCAAAAAAGAUUCACUAAUCUAAAGAAAAACAAAAAAGGAAUUCCAUUGAAUUGUAUUUUUAUUGAUCAAUUAGAAUUGCCUUCUAGAACGUAUAAUUGUCUCAAAAGGGCCAAUAUACAUACACUAUUGGACCUUUUGAGUAAGACUGAAGAAGAUCUUAUGCAAAUUAAUAGUUUUUGUAUGGAAGAUGGAAAACUGAUAUGGGACACUCUAGAGAAGCAUCUCCCAAUUGAUUUACCUAAGAACAAGUUCUCGCUUUAAAUCAUUGCAAUUUUUUCCUCUUCUUCUUUUUUGAGUUAGAAUAAAAAGAAAAAAGAAAGCAAUUUGGCAUCUUUGGCAUAAUCUAUAUUUUCACGAAAUGGAUCAUAAUAAAAUAGAUUUUAGGUAUCUGUGAACCACCAGACAUUACACAAUGCAGUGUCCGGUGCACACCAGACUGUCCAAUGAGCCCAAACAGAGGGAAUUUUGAAAUUUUCUACCUAAUUUUGAACCAAACCAAAUCCCAACUUAUAAGCACACAAAAGAAAACUUGUUGGGACAUAUAUUGGUACCCUCACAUAUUCUCUCAUAUUUUUCAAAAUAUUCUGCCAUAGGCUAGAUAGUUUUUAGAGAAAAUAGUCAAAUGGUGAAAUUUGCAUUGCGGCUUUGCACUAGGGGUUUCAUGAAUGACUUGAGUUUUGAAUACUCCCCCUAAGUGCAGUGCCACAUGCAUAUAUCAAGAACCAACAAUUGCAUAGUAAAUGAAAUUUUAAGUACUAAAAAGCUUAAAUGCUAAGACUUGUUAAGCUUUUUCACUCGCUUUGUUGGCGGUUAUCUUAACUAGGUUAGACAAGCCCUAGAUGCAAUACAAGAAAUUGAAACAUGCAAUGCAGGCUUGACAACACGACUUUAAGAUUAAGUGAAAUUUCUGAGAUCAAGAAUAUUUAACUCAUUCCUCAACAUACAAAAGCGGGUUUUAUCUAGUGGCUUUGUGAAAAUGUCCGCUAAUUGAUCUUCCGAUCUCACUCCUUCUAAAAUAAUAUCUCCUUUAGCAACAUGAUCUCUAAGGAAAUGAUGACGGAUAUCAAUGUACUUGGUGCGAGAGUGUUGUACAUGAUUAUUAGCAAUUUUAACAACACUCUCAUUGUCACACAACAAAGGUACUUUUUCUAGAACUACACCAUAGUCUAGAAGAGUUUAUUUCAUAUAAAGAAUUUAUGUGCAACAAGCACCCGCGGCAAUGUAUUCCGCUUCGGCGGUUGACAAGGCGACACUAUUUUGCUUCUUAGAUGUCCAUGAAACUAGUGAUCUCCCAAGCAAGUGGCAUCCCCCGGAUGUACUUUUUCUAUCAAUUUUGCAACCGGCAUAAUCCGAAUCGGAAUAGCCAAUUAAAUCAAAAGUAGCUCCUUUGGGAUACCAAAGGCCAAUGCUUGGGGUGUGCUUAAGAUACCUAAGAAUUCUUUUAAUAGCACGAAGAUGAGCUUUCUUAGGAUUUGCUUGAAAUCUAGCACACAUACAGACACUAAACAAGAUAUUGGGCCUAGAUGUGGUAAGAUACAAUAAGCUACCAAUCAUGGAACGGUAGAGAGUUUGAUCAACCGGGUUACCUCCCUCAUCUAGGUUGAGAUGUCCAUUAGUAGGCAUGGGUGUCUUGAUUGGUUUGUGAAAGUCACCUAGAGGGGGGUGAAUAGGCGGAAUCUGAAAAUUAUAAACUUAAGCGCACUCUACAAGCCGGGGUUAGCGUUAGAAAUGAAUUCGAGUCCGAAAGAAAGGGAAAACAAAUCAACCAAGAAAUAAAGAGAUUGAACAUGGUGAUUUGUUUUACCGAGGUUCGGUUCUAAAGAACCUAGUCCCCGUUGAGGUGGUCACAAAGACCGGGUCUCUUUCAACCCUUUCCCUCUCUCAAACAGUCACCUAGACCGAGUGAGCUUUCUCCUUAAUCAAACGGUCACUUAGACCCCGUAAGGACCACCACACACUUGUGUCUCUUGCUUUGAUUACAAGUCACUUAGAGAACAAGAAUGAGGAAGAAGAAAGUGAUCCAAGAACAAGAGCUCAAAGAACACGAACAAAAUCCUCUCUCUAGUCAAUAGGUGUUUGGAGUAAAUUUGGGACUUGGAGAGGCUUUGAUUCUUUUGAAUUGUGUCUAGGAGUGAAUGCACUAGCUCUUGUAUUGAAUGUAAAGUGCUGGAAACUUGGAUGCUUGGAGUGGUGGUGGUUGGGGGUAUUUAUAGCCCUCAACCACCACAUAGCCGUUGGGGAUGGCUACUGUUGAUGGGCGCACCGGACAGUCCGGUGCGCCACCAGACACUGUCUGGUGCGCCAGCCACGUCACCCAACCAUUAGGGUUCGGGAGCUUCUGACCGUUGGAGGCUUUGUCUUCUAGUGGCACCGGACAGUCCGGUGCUGCAUCGGACAAGCACUGUUUGCUGUCCGGUGUGCCUCUAACGACUGCUCUGACUUCUGCGCACAUUGUUCAUGCACUGUAGCGUUUGCAGGGGUCCGUUGCAGUCGACCGUUGCGCUGGAUAGCCGUUGCUCCGCUGGUGCAUCGGACAGUCCGGUGAAUUAUAGCGGAGCGCGCUGGUUGAAACCCAAGAGUGGUUGUUUGGACUCUGUACGGUCCUGGUGCACCAGACACUGUCCGGUGGCACACCGGACAGUCCAGUGCGCCAGACCAGGGCACACUCGGUUUCUUCGCUCCUUUGAUAUUGAACCCUAACUUCAAUCUUUUAUUGGUUUGUGUUGAACCUUUAUGCACCUGAAGAACAUAUAAUCUAGAGCAAACUAGUUAGUCCAAUAUUUGUGUUGGGCAUUCAACCACCAAAAUUAAUACUGGGAAAAGGUUAACCCUAUUUCCGUUUCAAUCUCCCCCUUUUUGGUGAUUGAUGCCAACACAAACCAAAGCAAAUAUGUAAGUGCAGAAUUGAACUAGUUUGCAUAAGGUAAGUGCAUAAGUUACUUGGAAUUAAACCAAUUUAUAAUUUUACUAGAUAUGCAUGGAUUGCUUUCUUUUAUUUAACAUUUUGGACCACAUUUGCACCACUUGUUUUGUAAAAUAGUCAAAGGUAUAUGAAUAGAUUGCACAAAGCAUUUUCAAGAUUUGAAAUUUCUCCCCCUAUUUCAAAUGCUUUUCCUUUGACUAAACAAAACUCCCCCUUAAUGAAAUUCUCCUCUUAGUUUUCAAGAGGGUUUUAAUAGAUACCAAUUAGAAGUAUUUUUAGAUGCCAAUUUUGAAAAUCUAUCUUUAAAUAUACCAAUUGAAGAUAUCAUAUCAAUUGAAGAAAUUUCUAUCAUAAGAUACCAAUUGGAAAAACAAACAUAAAUCAUCAUUUCGAAAAUUUUUGAAGUUGGUGGUGCAGUCCUUUUGCUUUGGGCUUAAUAUUUCUCCCCCUUUGGCAUUAAUCGCCAAAAACGGAGACGUUGAGAGCCCUCUUUACUUUCUCCCCCAUUGGUACAAGUAAAUAUGAGUGGAAGAUUAUACCAAUUUGAGAGUGAUGUGGAGUGACGGCGAAGGGUAAAUGAUACCGAUAGAGUGGAGUGGAAGCCUUGUCUUCACCGAAGACUCCAUUUCCCUUUCAAUCUAAGACUUAGUAUAUAAAUACACUUGAAAAUUCAUUAGCCGUAGUCAUGAAAGAGAUAUGAUCAAAGGUAUAUAGAUGAGCUAUGUGUGCAAUGUUUCAAUCAAAAUUCCGAGAAUCAAGAAUAUUUAGCUCAUUCCUAAGUUUGCUAAAGGUUUUCUCAUCUAAUGGCUUGGUAAAGAUAUCGGCUAAUUGUUCUUUGGUGCUAACAUAAGCUAUCUCGAUAUCCCCCCUUUGUUGGUGAUCCCUCAAAAAGUGAUACCGAAUGUCUAUGUGCUUAGUGCGGCUGUGUUCAAUGGGAUUAUUCGCCAUGCGGAUUGCACUCUCAUUGUCACAUAGGAGAGGGACUUUGCUCAAUUUGUAGCCAUAGUCCCUGAGGGUUUGCCUCAUCCAAAGUAAUUGUGCACAGCAAUGGCCUACGGCAAUGUACUCGGCUUCGGCGGUAGAAAGAGCUACUGAGUUUUGUUUCUUUGAAGCCCAUGACACCAGGGAUCUCCGCAGAAACUGACAAGUCUCUGAUGUGCUCUUCCUAUCAAUUUUACACCCUGCCCAAUUGGCAUCGAAAUAACCUAUUAAAUCAAAAGUGGAUCCCUUGGGGUACCAAUGUCCAAACUUAGGAGUAUAAACUAAAUAUCUCAUGAUUCUUUUCAUGGCCCUAAGGUGAACUUUCUUAGGAUUGGAUUAGAACCUUGCACACAUGCAUAUGGAAAGCAUAAUAUCCGGUCGUGAUGCACAUAAAUAGAGUAAAGAUCCUAUCAUCGAUCGGUAUACCUUUUUAUCUACGGAUUUACCUCCCGUGUCGAGGUCGAGAUGCCCAUUUGUUCCCAUGGGUAUCUUGAUGGGCUUGGCAUCCUUCAUUCCAAACUUGUUAAGUAUGUCUUGAAUGUACUUGGUUUGGCUGAUGAAGGUGCCGUCUUGGAGUUGCUUGACUUGAAAUCCUAGGAAAUACUUCAACUCCCCCAUCAUAGACAUCUCGAAUUUUUGUAUCAUGAUCCUACUAAACUCUUCACAAGUAGAUUUGUUAGUAGACCCAAAUAUGAUAUCAUCAACAUAAAUUUGGCAUACAAACAAAUCUUUUGCAAUAGUUUUAGUAAAGAGAGUAGGAUCGGCUUUACCGACUUUGAAGCCAUUAGUGAUAAGGAAAUCUCGCAGGCAUUCAUACCAUGCUCUUGGGGCUUGCUUAAGCCCAUAAAGCGCCUUUGAGAGUUUAUACACAUGGUUAGGGUACUCACUAUCUUCAAAGCGGGAGGUUUCUCAACAUAGACCUCUUCCUUUAUUGGUCCAUUGAGGAAGGCACUCUUCACGUCCAUUUGAUAAAGUUUGAAGCCAUGGUAAGUAGCAUAGGCAAGUAAUAUGCGAAUUGACUCAAGCCUAGCUACGGGUGCAUAAGUUUCUUGUCCAAACCUUCGACUUGUGAAUAACCUUUGGCCACAAGUCGGGCUUUGUUUCUUGUCACCACACCAUGCUCAUCUUGCUUGUUAUGAAAUACCCACUUGGUACCUACAACAUUUUGAUUAGGACGUGGAACCAAAUGCCAUACCUCAUUCCUCGUGAAGUUGUUGAGUUCCUCUUGCAUUGCCAACACCCAAUCUGAAUCUCUUAGUGCAUCCACAAUCCUGUAUGGCUCAAUAGAGGACACAAAAGAGUAAUGUUCAUAGAAAUGUGCAACUCGAGAUCUAGUGGUUACCCCCUUAUGAAUGUCACCGAGAAUGGAGUUCACGGGGUGAUCCCUUUGAAUUGCUUGGUGGACUCUUGGGUGUGGCAGUCUUUGACCUUGUAUUUCUUGCUCAUCUUCCUUGUCCUUAUUGACUUGAUCUCCCCCUUGAUCAUUGUCCUCCUCUUGAGGUGGCUCAUCCUCUUGAUCUUCAUCAUCUUGAGCCUGAUCCUCAUCUUGAGUUGGUGGAGAUCCUUGCAUGGAAGAUGACAGUUGAUCUUGUGCUUGAGUAGGCUCUUCGGAUUCCUUAGAACACACAUCCCCAAUGGACAAGUUCCUUAGUGCGACGCACGGAGCCUCUUCAUCAUCUAAUUCAUCAAGAUCAACUUGCUCUACUUGGGAGCCAUUAGUCUCAUCAAACACAAUGUCACAAGAAACUUCAACUAAUCCAGUGGAUUUGUUGAAGACUCUAUAUGCCCUUGUGUUUGAGUCAUAACCAAGUAAAAAGCCUUCUAUAGCCUUAGGAGCAAAUUUAGAUUUUCUACCUCUUUUAAUAAGAAUAAAGCAUUUGCUACCAAAGACUCUAAAAUAUGAAACAUUGGGCUUUUUACCGGUGAGGAGUUCGUAUGAUGUCUUCUUGAGGAUUCGGUGAAGAUAUAACCGGUUGAUGGAGUAGCAAGCAGUGUUGAUUGCUUCCGCCCAAAAUAGGUCCGGAGUCUUGUACUCAUCAAGCAUGGUCCUCGCCGUGUCUAGUAGAGUUCUAUUCUUCCUCUCCACUACACCAUUUUGUUGAGGUGUGUAGGGAGAAGAGAACUCAUGCUUGAUGCCCUCACCCUCAAGAAAGCCUUCAAUUUGAGAGUUCUUGAACUCCGUCCCGUUGUUGCUUCUUAUCUUCUUGAUUCUCAAUCCGAACUCAUUUUGAGCCCGUCUCAAGAAUCCUUUGAGUGUAUCUUGGGUUUGAGAUUUUUCCUGCAAAAACAAUACCCAAGUGAAGCGAGAAUAAUCAUCCACAAUUACUAGACAGUACUUACUCCCGCCGAUGCUUAUGUAAGCUAUCCGGCCGAAUAAAUCCAUGUGGAGUAGCUCGAGCGGCCUGUCUAUUGUCAUGAUGUUCUUGUGUGGAUGGUGGGCUCCAACUUGCUUUCCUGCUUGACAUACGCUGCAAACCCUGUCUUUCUCAAAAUGAACAUUUGUUAGCCCUAAAAUGUACUCCCCUUUAGAAGCUUGUGAAGAUUCAUCAUCCCAACAUGGGCUAGUCGGCGAUGCCAGAGCCAACCCAUGUUAGUUUUAGCAAUUAAGCAAGUAUCAAGUUCAGCUCUGUUAAAAUCAACUAAGUAUAGCUGACCCUCUAAUACUCCUUUAAAUUCUACUGAAUCAUCACUUCUUCUAAAGACAGUAACACCUACAUCCGUAAAAAGACAGUUGUAACCCAUUUUGCAUAAUUGAGAAACGGAAAGCAAAUUGUAAUCUAAAGAAUCUACAAGAAAAACAUUGGUUACCCCCAUUCGUUAUUCAAUAUUGUCCUUAUAUUAACUUACAAUUAUAUACUGAGAAAUAUAUGUGAUAAUGUUAUUGUUCACAUUGUUUCUUAUGCUUUACAUGCUCCAUUCAUUGUUAAUAUUUAUACAUAUAUGUAUGUUGAGAUGAUGAAGGUAUGUCCUUCAUGACCUUCGUUCGAAGAUCAUUAUAUCCUUGGGGAAAUAAUACUUCGAAGGACGAAGGGCAUUGACAAAUAACUUGUUUUGGUGUUGUCUUGUUCUCAAUUUAUAGCAUUUGAGAGCAAGUUCCCAAUAUUGGCGCCCACCUCCGGUGAACCCUUUUCGACCACCUUCGCCAAGCACUGACCUUCGUCAUGCCACCGAAGAAAGCUUCAGCGACAGGGACUGCCGCUCUGCAGCCACUGGACCCAAAUUAGGAGACCCUUUCUCUUCGAGAGGCCCGAAGCCAGAAGAGGAAGGCCACUAGUCCAACACUCCAAGAGGAAGAGUUGGACCAAGAAAUCAGAAACAUGGAGAUAAUCCAUCAGCAAGUGCAAAGGAAGAAGGAGAAGAUGGCCCGACUAGCUGAUCUUCAAAGACAAAUCGACGAAGCCAAUGAAGAAGUACGCCAUCUUGAUCAAGACGAGCAAGAUCGAAGGCCCCAACACAGGGAGCUUCAUCAAGAGGGAUUGUUCAAUGACGAUGGAUGGUAUGAUGAUUUUAAUCAUGAUACCUUUACUUUUGAUGAUGCUUCUCCCUUGGCAGCAGAACUGCAAGCUAUCCCAUGGCCCCCAUCAUACAAGCCACCUCAGCUCCCCAUGUAUGAUGGCAUUCAGACCCGAAGCAGUUUUUGAUGAGAUAUGAAGCAACUAUAUAUUCAUACGGAGGCAAUGCAGCUGUCAUGGCCAAGUCCUUCGUCAUGGCAGUUCGGAAUGUGGCCCAAACGUGGUAUUCUUCUCUUCAGCCAGGAACUAUUACUUCAUGGCAGAAGCUCAAGGAUAUGCUAGUGACAAGUUUCUAGGGUUUUCAGACGAAGCUAGUCACAGCUCAAGCUCUGUUUCAAUGCACGCAAGAUCAUGAGGAGUAUCUCCAGGCAUACGUCCGAAGGUUCUUGCGUUUGAGAGCACAAGCACCUACAGUGCCCAAUGAAAUUGUCAUUGAGGCCAUGAUCAAGGGGCUUCGUCUAGGACCUACUGCCCAGUAUUUUGCUAGAAAGCUUCCAUAGACUUUGGAGAAGCUGCUCCAAAAGAUGGAUGAGUACAUCCGAGCUGACAAUGACUUCCGCCAAAGAAGGGAGGAAACAUACAGGUUCUCUGAAAUGACCAGGGGCUUCGGAUGAAGAAUCCACCCGAGGCACGUCAGGUCAAUUCACAACUCUACUCAGAGUGAUGACAGAGGAAGUCAACAACAGAGGCCACAGUAUUCUUUGCAAGCUUCGGGGCAGCAACAAAGCUCUUUUCGGCCACCAGCUCCAAGAGGCAGAGGCGCCAGGGGCUUCGGAGGAAGGUUUGGGGAUCAGCCUAGAAAAAUUUAUUGCUUAUUCUGUGGUGAGGGCAAGGGCCAUACUACAAGGAUGUGCCAUGUCACCAUUCAGAAACAAAAGGAAAUAGCAGAAGCCGCAGCUCAGCAGAACCAGCCGAAGCAGGUCAUGCACACUACUUUGUAUCACUCACCCUACAUACCAGAGUAUGUGGGUAACCAUCCUGCAGCCUCUGUUGCUUCAGCUAGCCAGCCACAGGCAUCUUGGCCAUAGCCUCCACCGCCGCCACCACUACAACCCGCAUAUUCACGAGGCCAGCAGCCAGAAGGGAGCCAACAAACCCAUCACCAGCGGGAUUUCAGGGAGGAGUCCGAAGCUCGCACAGUCAACAGUAUUGUGUCAGAAUCGAAACAUAUCUAUUGAGAGAUAUCCUACCCCUGAAAUAGUUUUUACAUUCAUUGUCAUUUUCUUUUUUAAUAAGGAACAAUUAUAGUAAACCUAGUUUUCUUGCCAUUUUCAAUUUCUUGUAAUAGCUUCGUUCUUGCCACAGUGAAAUAUAUCUUUUCCACAGACUCACAAAGUCCAAAAAUUGUUGAAGCUCAAAAGUCGUUCCUAAGGGAAUGCGGGGCUAAAAAUCACAUUGCAAGUAUCACUGAAGCUACAAAAAGUCGUUCCUAAGGGAGCGCAGUGUAAGUUUUCUGCUCAAAAGUCGUUCCAAAGGGAAUGCAGAGCUAAAUACCACCGAAAUAUAAGGCAAAGCGCGAAAAGUCAACGCGAAUACCGCCAAAAUAGAAGGCGAAGAAGUUCAAAAGACGUUCCUUAGGGAAUGCAGAACUUACAGCGAAAAGUCAGCGCUGAUACACCAAAAAAUAAGAGGUGAAGCCGAAAAAUAAGCAGCACGGAGAUUGUGUAUUCCACUAUGGGGGUGUGAGUGUGUGUCUUCGGCAUAAACAUCAUUUCGCAUAACAUAACAUCAUCACAUCAUUUCACAUAACAUAACAUCAUACAUCAUAUUGCAUCAAUGGCACAAGAAGAGGAUACAAUGUUGAUCUUCGGAGAAUGCUUCGAAAAAGCUCUGAUGUGGAGGAAGAAAUCUAUUGUUUACGAAGCAUUAAUGUCUUUACGACGCUUGGAUGUUCUUUACGAAGUAUGAAUAUUCCCACGGGGCAUAAAAGUUUUUCUUCACGAAGCAUGAAAAGAAGGGAAGGUGUUUUUUCGCCGAAGGCUCAAAAACGGUAUGUACAAAGUUUCAUGCAUCGUAAAGAACUGAAUUACAAACAAUUCAUAUAUUACAUUCAAGUACCAAAUAUUACAAGCAUAGUUCAGCAAAAGUUAUAAUAAUAUUCUAGAAAUGUUUUUACAAUAGCUAUUCUUCCUUCAAAACUUUAUCUGCAGCUUCGGUCAGCAAUUUGGUAACGACUUCAUCUACAAUAGCUUCGGCCAUAUUAAUAAUUUCUAGUGUUUUCUUUGUCUCUGGAUCGGCCAGUGGGUUGAGUGGCUCUGGAGGAGGAGAUAGUUCAGCUGCGGUAGAAGACAUGAAUUAGUUCGAAGUCACAAAAAGUAAUAACAAUAAAGUUAAAAGACAUUAAUUAAUACAUAUCCGUCUUUCAAGUUCUGCAGCUUUUUUAGCUGCUUUCGCUGCUUCUCGAGUAUCAUGAAUAUAUUUUUCGCUCUUUUUCAUUAUUUCAUGGGUCAUCCCUCGGUCGCCAUUUUCCCAGAUAUCAGUGAAAAAUUUUCCGCCUAUUGAGCUUGCUUCGGCCGAGGGGUCCUUCGUAUCGUCAAUAGAGAAGGCAGCUUCGGCCUGGGCCAAAGUUUUAACAUGUUCGCACCGUGCCUUCUCCAAAAUAGCUGCAACUCCCCUCGCACCAGAGAACGCACAGACGUCCCCGCGGUCACUCAAAAUUUCUUCAAAAGCUUUGGCUUCACUGCUGAUCCACUCAAUUACGCUCUCAGGAUCGUCCCUUAUGAAGUUGUUUUCGCUCGAGUACGCGCCCACGUUGGCGAAGCUAGUCUUUAUCCUUUUUACGCAUUCCACAGAUUUUUAAAAGCAUCUUUCUUUUGAUGCGCGAAGUUCUACAACUGUUUUUUCACAAUAAUUUUUCCAGUAAUCACUGCAUCUCGUUCAGCUUCGACAACAGCGCAUUUUAAUUUGGAUUCAGCUAGUUGCUUUUGAAGGUUUUCAAUCUCAUUCCUUUGGAUUUCAGAUUGAGCCUUGAAGUUAGCUUCAUCUCCCUUUACUUUGUCCACCAAUGCAAGUAGGAUUUUGUAUUUUUCCAAAGCUUCGUUUCUCAGCCUAAUAACCUCUGUUCGAAGGUUGUUGAGAGCAAUACUGCAGCUCUCGUCUUCAGCAUUCUUUUGCGCCCUUAAGGCGUUGCUAAGUAUUAAGCCCUACACGAAAAGAAUGAAUGAAUUAAUAUAAGAACAAAAGACUAAUUCAAAAUUCAUAAACUUCCAAAUACACAAUUUUCAUACCUUCAGACUGUUGUAUGCAAGGCUAUCCGCAAGAUCGUCCUUCGUCAUGGCGCAGAGGCCAACUUCAAGCUUCGGGAACCCCAUACUUUUGGCCAUUUCCCGGCAGAUGGAUAAUUCUUUGUUGUCUGGGAGGCAAUACAAGAAGUCAUCUUCAUCUGUGCCAUUAAACACUAAGGCCCCUUUCGGGUACUUCAGUUCUCGGGCAUAGUGUUUAGCUUCAAAAAUUUCUUUUUCAGAUAAUCUUUUUCCUGAAGCAUGUUGAAUAAUAUAAUCAAGGUCUUCGGAAGGUGCUUCGGGAGUAGGAGCGGCAGCUUUUUCAGGUAAAAUAUGUUCUAUAGCUUCUUCCUCUGCUGCCUUUUCUCCAAUUUCCUAGGGUUUCUCCUUGGCAGGCUCUGAAGGCUCAACUUCGACGCUAGCCUGGCUCAUUGUAGCUUCGGCUUCGGUCAGUUUUGUUUCGGUUUCAAUUUGCACUUUCGAAGCCUUGGCAAUUUUCCCUAGAGUAGAGCUUGAAGCUUUUAUCGUCUCCAGCACAUCUAGUACACUGACCAUCCUUUUUCUCUUAGGGGUCGCUGCUAGACCUUUUUGUGCCUUCGGCACCACCACUCCUGUCGAAGGGCUUAGAACUUCUAACAUUUUCGUCCCUUCGAUUCUUGGUUCCUCAAUUUUGUUAGUCUUCAGCAUUAUAGUCGGCUCUUCAAUCCUCGGCGUAGGAGCAGGUCCUUUUGCUUCAAUAGCUGAAGAAGUUUCACCGCCAAAUUUAGGCACUAUGGCCGGUUCAAUGUAGCACGGUCGGUGGGUAAGGACCUUCAACUUUUUCCUCUUCGGCGCAGGCUCGCUUGGAGCAGCUAAAGCAGCAGCCUUUCCAGAAGUUGUACCCUUUCUUUUCUGCCCCCGCGGCGGGUAGCGAUAGUCAGGGUACACAAAUCCAAUAGCAUCAAAAACCCUAUUUAGUCUUUUCUUUUUUCGGCUCCCGAAGGCCGCAGAUAGUGCAUUAUCUUCAGACUUGGAUUAUGCUCCAAGUAGUUCAUCACUAGUAUUUUCAACACACUUCAGCCAGUCAUCAUCUGGUUCGAUAAACUGGUCUCCAAACCUGAAGGUGUAUUUCAAUCGAACUAAACCACCUUCAUUAGGGUUAGUGAUGGUCUCUUUUGGCAUUUCCCAGCUAUCUAUCAGUGGUCAUAUCCUGUAGGCUACAUGUUCUUGAACUAAGUCUCUUGUCCUAAUAAAAGAGCAAAUUGUGUUGAAGGCCCUUCGGCAUGCUUCGGCUGCCUCAUCAAUUUCUAUCUUCGGCUUUCGGAGACCGAAGCGGGACCAAAUGGGUCGCAUGAUGAUUUCUUUAAUAUCUUCUCUUGCCUUCCAAUCAUUUUUCACGUAAAACCAUUCUUCCAUCCAGGCCCCGGGCUACCUCUUCCGAAACGUUGGCACUGGGUAGCUUGCACCAGAGCGAGCAACAAAGCUAUAGCACCCAAAAUUGUUAUGAUAUUGUUCCUUACCCCAGGGAUUCAUCUCAUACGAAAGCUUGUGCAUACUGCAAAAACAUCUUGCGCUUGGCUCUGGACCUUGACUCCUCACAGCCCAAACGAAGAUCCCCAUUCUGAUAAUUGCUUCGGGAGUGAUCUGGUGAAGGAAAAUCUGAUAUAUCUUUAAAACUUCAACCACAAAUCUGCUUAAUGGGAAUCGAAGUCCAGCUUUGAAGAAGCUUCGGUAGAUUACUUCUUUUUCUUCGGGAGCAGGAAUGGCUCUGUCUACGUCAGCCCUCACAAUAGACAUAUCUCGAAAAUACCUUCCUCUCAUAUUAUCAAGAUGACUCUGUUUGAUAGUUGAUUUCCCGAAGACUGCAUGACUUGGUCGCCAAGGACGAUCUUCGGAGUCUUCGCCUCCACUUUCCAUAUCAUAGUUGUCGCUAUCAUCAGUAUCUUCAGACAAGCCUUCUAGUAUCUCUUUAGUUAUCUUCUCUAUGUUUGUUUUUGCAUUUGACUCAAUAAAUCCAGCAGUCUUCUCCUCAAGGAGCUUCUCCUCUUCGGUUAGCUUCGUCUCAGCAACUGUCUUCUUGUCUUCAGACAUCUUAUCUUCGGAAAUGACAAAAAACACGUCCUUAAAAUUGAAACUUAGGAAGUCUGAGAAACUAAGCAGGCGGUGGCAAGCAAGAGCUAAAAACUGAGUAAACAAAACAAGCGGCAAGUAGCGUACCAAAUGUGCUCAGGGUGAGUUCCUAUUUAUACGAUCGACACGCUCCAAGUUGGAGGGUCCCGUUUGUCAUUGAAUGUUGCUAUUCUAGCAAAGGGAAGGUGUUUUUUUGGACCUUCGGCUUAGGGCCUUCGUCCAUAUCGCAAUCUGAAUUCGUUAUUCUAACAAAUUAAUCUUGCGAGGGGCUACUGUUGGGGGCCUUCGUCUUCCAAAGGUCCUCAAAAACAUGAUUUAACAAUGUUUCCGGAGUUGUAAUACAUAAAUAGGUACCUUCAGACUCAGAUCAGAACCACGUUGGCGAAGCUAGUCUUUAUCCUUUUUACGCAUUCCACAGAUUUUUAAAAGCAUCUUUCUUUUGAUGCGCGAAGUUCUACAACUGUUUUUUCACAAUAAUUUUUCCAGUAAUCACUGCAUCUCGUUCAGCUUCGGCAACAGCGCAUUUUAAUUUGGCUUCAGCUAGUUGCUUUUGAAGGUUUUCAAUCUCAUUCCUUUGGAUUUCAGAUUGAGCCUUGAAGUUAGCUUCAUCUCCCUUUACUUUGUCCACCAAUGUAAGUAGGAUUUUGUCUUUUUCCAAAGCUUCGUUUCUCAGCCUAAUAACCUCUGUUCGAAGGUUGUUGAGAGCAAUACUGCAGCUCUCGUCUUCAGCAUUCUUUUGCGCCCUUAAGGCGUUGCUAAGUAUUAAGCCCUACACGAAAAGAAUGAAUGAAUUAAUAUAAGAACAAAAGACUAAUUCAAAAUUCAUAAACUUCCAAAUACACAAUUUUCGUACCUUCAGACUGUUGUAUGCAAGGCUAUCCGCAAGAUCGUCCUUCGUCAUGGCGCAGAGGCCAACUUAAAGCUUCGGGAACCCCAUACUUCUGGCCAUUUCCCGGCAGACGGAUAAUUCUUUGUUGUCUAGGAGGCAAUACAAGAAGUCAUCUUCAUCUAUGCCAUUAAACACUAAGGCCCCUUUCGGGUACUUCAGUUCUCGGGCAUAGUGUUUAGCUUCAAAAAUUUCUUCUUCAGAUAAUCUUUUUCCUGAAGCAUGUCGAAUAAUAUAAUCAAGGUCUUCAGAAGGUGCUUCGGGAGUAGGAGCGGCAGCUUUUUCAGGCAAAAUCUGUUCUAUAGCUUCUUCCUCUGCUGCCUUUUCUCCAAUUUCCUAGGGUUUCUCCUUGCAGGCUCUGAAGGCUCAACUUCGGUGCUAGCCUGGCUCAUUGUAGCUUCGGCUUCGGUCAGUUUUGUUUCGAUUUCAAUUUGCACUUUCGAAGCCUUGGCAAUUUUCCCUAGAGUAGAGCUUGAAGCUUUUAUUGUCUCCAGCACAUCUAGUACACUGGCCAUCCUUUUUCUCUUAGGGGUCGCUGGUAGACCUUUUUGUGCCUUCGGCACCGCCACUCCUGUCGAAGGGCUUAGAACUUCUAACAUUUUUGUCCCUUCGAUUCUUGGUUCCUCAAUUUUGUCAGUCUUCAGCAUUGCAGCUGGCUCUUCAAUCCUCGGCGUAGGAGCGGGUCCUUUUGCUUCAAUAGCUGAAGAAGUUUCACCGCCAAAUUUAGGCACUAUGGCCGGUUCAAUGUAGCGCGGUCGGUGGGUAAGGACCUUCAACUUUUUCCUCUUCGGCGCAGGCUCGCUUGGAGCAGCCAAAGCAGCAGCCUUUCCAGAAGUUGUACCCUUUCUUUUCUGCCCCCGCGGCGGGUAGCGAUAGUCAGGGUACACAAAUCCAAUAGCAUCAAAAACCCUAUUUAGUCUUUUCUUUUUUCGUCUCCCGAAGGCCACAGAUAGUGCAUUAUCUUCAGACUUGGAGUAUGCUCCAAGUAGUUCAUCACUAGUAUUUUCAACACACUUCAGCCAGUCAUCAUCUGGUUCGAUAAACUGGUCUCCAAACCUGAAGGUAUAUUUCAAUCGAACUAAACCACCUUCGCUAGGGUUAGUGAUGGUCUCUUUUGGCAUUUCCCAGCUAUCUAUCAGUGGCCAUAUCCUGUAGGCUACAUGUUCUUGAACUAAGUCUCUUGUCCCAAUAAAAGAGCAAACUGUGUUGAAGGCCCUUCGGCAUGCUUCGGCUGCCUCAUCAAUUUCUACCUUCGGCUUUCGGAGACCGAAGCGGGACCAAAUGGGUCGCAUGAUGAUUUCUUUAAUAUCUUCUCUUGCCUUCCAAUCAUUUUUCACGUAAAAUCAUUCUUCCAUCUAGGCCCCGGGCUACCUCUUCCGAAACGUUGGCACUGGGUAGCUUGCGCCAGAGCGAGCAACAAAGCUGUAGCACCCAAAAUUGUUAUGAUAUUGUUCCUUAUCCCAGGGCUUCGUCUCAUUCGAAAGCUCGUGCAUACUGCAAAAACAUCUUGCGCUUGGCUCUAGACCUUGACUCCUCACAGCCCAAACGAAGAUCCCCAUUCUGAUAAUUGCUUCGGGAGUGAUCUGGUGAAGGAAAAUCUGAUAUAUCUUUAAAACUUCAACCACAAAUCUGCUUAAUGGGAAUCGAAGUCCAGCUUUGAAGAAGCUUCGGUAGAUUACAACUUCUUUUUCUUCGGGAGCAGGAAUGGCUCUAUCUACGUCAACCCUCACAAUAGACAUAUCUCGAAAAUACCUUCCUCUCAUAUUAUCAAGAUGACUCUGUUUGAUAGUUGAUUUCCCGAAGACUGCAUGACUUGGUCGCCAAGGACGAUCUUCGGAGUCUUCGCCUCCACUUUCCAUAUCAUAGUUGUCGCUAUCAUCAGUAUCUUCAGACAAGCCUUCUAGUAUCUCUUUAGUUAUCUUCUCUAUGUUUGUUUUUGCAAUUGACUCAAUAAAUCCAGCAGUCUUCUCCUCAAGGAGCUUCUCCUCUUCGGUUAGCUUCGUCUCAGCAACUGUCUUCUUGUCUUCAGACAUCUUAUCUUCGGAAAUGACAAAAACACGUCCUUAAAAUUGAAACUUAGGAAGUCUGAGAAACUAAGCAGGCGGUGGCAAGCAAGAGCUAAAAACUGAGUAAAUAAAACAAGCGGCAAGUAGUGUACCAAAUGUGCUCAAGGUGAGUUCCUAUUUAUACGAUCGACACACUCCAAGUUGGAGGGUCCCGUUUGUCAUUGACUGUUGCUAUUCUAGCAAAGGGAAGGUGUUUUUUCGGACCUUCGGCUUAGGGCCUUCGUCCAUAUCGCAAUCUGAAUUCGUUAUUCUAACAAAUUAAUCUUGUGAGGGGCUACUAUUGGGGGCCUUCGUCUUCCGAAGGUCCUCAAAAACAUGAUUUAACAAUGUUUCCGGAGUUGUAAUACAUAAACAGGUACCUUCGGACUCGGAUCAGAACCACAGUGUGAGAAGCACGAACAAUACAAAGGUUGACGCAGCGCCGAAGCUACACGCAAGGGAGCUUCGGCAUGACAGCAGGAAAGGGAACCGACUUAAAGGGGAAAAGGCUAUUUAGACCUCGAUGGAUUACCUUAGGAUCGUUAGCAAAUGUAAAGGGCAUGGAUGUAAUUUCACAUGGGCUGUGUCCCGUGCCUAUAAAUAGAUGAACAGUGCCCCCUACUGUUCACGCUGACUUGGCAUUUGCUUUUGCGCCACGCUCGUAUCUUUGUUUUCUGUCAAGCCGAAGGUACCAAAUGUUAUUCAAUAUUGUCCUUAUAUUAACUUACAAUUAUAUACUGAGAAAUAUAUGUGAUAAUGUUAUUGUUCACAUUGUUUCUUAUGCUUUACAUGCUCCAUUCGUUGUUAAUAUUUAUACAUAUAUGUAUGUUGAGAUGAUGAAGGUAUGUCCUUCAUGACCUUCGUUCGAAGAUCAUUAUAUCCUUGGGGAAAUAAUACUUCGAAGGACGAAGGGCAUUGACAAAUAACUUGUUUUGGUGUUGUCUUGUUCUCAAUUUAUAGCAUUUGAGAGCAAGUUCCCAACAGGGUCACAAUCAAAUUUGGAGCAAAGGACCUAGAGUGUGCUGAAAAAUGGCGCACCGGACACUGUCCGGUGCGCCAGGCCAGGCAGCAGCGAACUAGCCACUCUCGGGUUUCUGCCGGGCACGCUCCACUAUAAUUCACCGGACUGUCCGGUGUACCACCGGACUGUCCGAUGAACUAGCGGAGCAACGGCUCCGUGCGCGCCAAUGGUCGACUGCGCAGAGGAACAGUGCCAAACAGUGCCGCGCAGAAGUCAGAGCACAAAAGUCAGAGGUCACCGAACUGUCCGGUGUGGCACCAGACUGUCCGGUGCAGCAAAAAGACAAACGUCUCAAACGGUCAACAGCUCUAAACCCUAACGGACGCGCUGACGUGGCGCGCACCGGACAGUGAACAGUGAUUGUCCGGUGCGCCACCGGACUAUCCGGUGCGCCCAUCGCUAGCAACGGCUAGGAAGUGGUUGAGGGCUAUAAAUACCCCCAACCACCUCAUUCAAAGCCAUCCAAGCAUUCUGAGUUUCUCAUUCAUUGCAAGAGCAAAGUGCAACACUCCAAGACACAAUCAAAGCAAUCAAUCCACUCAAAGUUCCCAAAAUCAAUGCUACUGCUUAAGGGCUUGUGAGAGGAUCAUUUGUGUUCUUUUGUUGCUCUUAUCGCUUGGAUUGCCUUCUUCCUUUCUCAUUCCAUUUCUCAAGUGCUUUGUAAAGCUAAGCAAGAGACAUCAAGUGUAUGGUGCUCCUUGCGGGGUUUUAGUGACCCGUGUGAUUAAGGGAAUGCUCACUCGGUCUAAGUGACCAUUUGAGAGAGAGGGAAAGAGUUGAAAUAGACCCGGCCUUUGUGGCCUCCUCAACGGGGACUAGGUUCUUUGGAACCGAACCUCGGUAAAACAAACCAUCGUGUCUACUCGCUUGAUUUGUUUGCCCUCUUUCCUCUCUCUAAUGUUUCCUUGCUAGUAUUGAUUUGAGUUUGCUCCCAUACAUCAUCUGCAUCCUUUGAGCAACUCUUAGCAAGAGAAACAAUCUUUUCGGACUCGAAUUUAAUUCUAACUCUAACCCCGGCCUUAGUGUGUGUUUAAGUUUGUAAAUUUCAGGUUUCACCUAUUCACCCCCCCUCUAGGCGACUUUCACAUGGUGGUUAUGCUAGUUCUUCUGUUAAUGUCGUAUGUCCUUGAUCGGGCAAGAUUCCUGCCCUCAUAUAGGGUCGAGUAGGUCAUCAUGUUAUUCAGUCGAGCUAGAUCUUCUUUGAUCCAUGGGAUGUUUUGAGGAAGCAGCGACAUGAGUCGAUUGAUCAAAAGUUCGAACUCGAUGAUAUUCUGAGUUGGUGCUGCGUGGAUGAUCUGGCCUUAAAAAUUAAUUAUUCUAGCGAAAUCCGAUAUGUAUGGCUCAUGGAUCCGAGACCUACCGAUCCCUUCACCCGUGGGCAUCUCUUCGCCCGUGUCCUGGUGGUGUAAUUUCUUUGCUCUGAUCCGAAGCUGGCUAGUCUUUUGACCUUGGCUCUGUUUAAGAUAGGUCUAUGGAUGAUGUAGCGGAUCUAUUUUCUUCCUUAGAUGUAACGUUGCUUCCUGGCACUGGCUCUUUUAUGAUGGGGCAAGUUUCCUGUUACUGACCGCUAACAACUCGUCUGGGGUUAUGAUCUCCUUCCGUAUGUCGAUCCAUUCACUAUCAUAUUUUCAGCAUGUCAUGCUUUUGAUAUUUUGAACAUACCUUUUAGUUUCAAACUCUAAUUUGGAUGAUGUUGGACUUUUUGGAAAGAUAAUAAAAAACUCUACAACUUAGAUCUAAAGUCGUGUUAAUCUUAUUAGAUUCAAAAUCAUGAAGCAAUUUCAAUCCACCUCUAUCUCUACUUUGGCGGCUUCAAUUUCGUUUGUGUCUUUGUGUUCAGGCUUCUACUUCUUGGUGUAUUAGACUACUUAGGGAGUGUUUUGAACCACUUCAUUUAUGAAAAUCAACUCAGCUACACAAACCUAUAGCCAAACACUUUCAACUUUAUCAACUUAGCUUCACCAAAAAAAUGUUAAGUCUCAUUCAACUUCACAAAAAAAACUUGAAGCAACUAAAAGAGUACUUCACGAAUGGAUGAUUUCAACUUGCUCAUGAAGUUAGAGUAAAAUUACCCACAUUAAACAUUAGUUACACACUUAAAACGAAACAUUAUUUUUUUGUAUUCUAACGGUCGCGUGCUCACCUCACAUACGCCUGCCACCUCAAAUGUGCGGCCCGCCUGCAACUUAUUGGUCGUGUCGUCAGCGGCAUCACAUGGAGGGGAGCACCAACGACUGGUUGCACUUGCCUGCAACUUGCCCCCCGGGUUCUUGAUGAGAUCUCUCCAAAAUAAUGAAAAAUAAAAGGUGAAAUACACCUAUACCUUUUGUACCCAAAAAUAAAAAAAGAGAAAUACACACAAUAGUUAAGGUAGUUUUUAUCGGGGUCAUCAUCAUAUAGAAUUAUUACGUUUAUUAACAAUAUUUUCCACUAGAAAUUCAGAAAGUUAUCGGGGUUGGUUGACCCUGAUAAAAGAGCCUGGCUCCGCCCCUAAAUACACAUAUAGCUUAUAAACAAUAUUAGUAUGAUUUUAAAGUAGCCUCCUACAUUUAAGGGUACAAGAGACUUUUAUAAACAAAAUCUCAUUUUAGUGAAACUGAAGCUAGUCGGCAAGCCAUACAAUUUAUAAAAUUGUCUAACUUUGAAGCAGAGCUGCUCAAUUCUGAAGUUUAUGAAGCUGAGCGGGUUAUUGUAAAGCUAAGUUGUGCCAAACACCCUCUUAGAAUGUCUUAUAGGUAUUAACAUGGAUUCUAAUGUGUUGCUUGAGGUGUUGAUCAUUUGGAGCAUCAUUUUGUCUAAGUCGAAGUCCAGAUUGCAUCGAUUUGAACUAUACAUUAUAUACUAGCAAAUAACAUUAGUUCAAAUGAUCAUGUUGUUCAUCAUACACUAAAAAACUAAACUUAAUGAUUUAUAGGGUCCAUUUUUCUUAUAAAUCCCACAUUAAAGUUUUCCGCAUGUUGCAUAAUGAGUCUAUUUGGAAGUCUACGACAUGGGUGUCUCAGCCUCACAUAAGGCAGGUGGAAAACUUCUGUUCAUGAGGAGAACAUGGGGAACCGUGGUUUAGGCAGGUGGAGAACUUCCACCCAUGAGAACAUUGAACUCGUGUGGAAGUUCCUAAUUUGAACAAAAAAUUGUGGAAUAUUAGGACACCCUUAAAAGUUAAUGUUUUUCUUUGGUACCUCCACAAAGGCAUUUUACUCACGCAAGACAAAUUAACUAAACAUAUAUGGAAAGGAAUAAGUCCGGUAGUUUUUGUCAUCUUGAAUUCUUGAUGAGACUAUGAAACAUCUUCUCUUUCAGUGUCAUUUUUUUUGGAAAUGGAAAUAUCAUUCCGGCCUUUUGCACUUUCAUACAUACAGUCAUACAACUCAAAUAAUACAUCAUCCCAACAAUUUGUGGAUCAAACAAACUUCAACUUAAAACAUGAUAUGGAAUAUAAGAUCACAAACACUAAACUACGUCAAUCCUUGUAUUAGACCGCCACCCGUGGCUCGCGAAGACCUCCAUGGCCACCACCUCCAAAGACUGACACACGACAAGGAUUUGCUGUUGUGUUUCUUCCUUCUGUAGGAGUCUCCAAAAUUUGAACCAAUGUGUACCUCUGAAAAUCACCUAUAUAAUUGACGAUAUAUGGUUAUGAUUAAACACCACAUCAUUACGGCAAAGCCAAAUCGACCAAAACAAAGGCGCAACGCUAAAAAGAAGCAGCUUUUUAUGCAUACAACCUUUGUUGGAUUCCCAAUCCCCUAUAAUAUGAUUAAUAUUGACGGGUGGGUCUAUUUUUAAAGUAAAAUAAAUAAUUCUCCAAACAGUUUUAACUAUGUAGCAAUCAAAGAAAAGAUGUUGUAUGUUCUCGUUCUGAUUACAAAAACUGCACUUCAGACUUCCUCGCCAUCUACGUUUCGCUAAGUUGUCUUUGGUUAGGAUCAACCCCCUACCUAGAUACCAAAGAAAGAUCUUAAUCUUAAGGGGUAAUUUCAAAUCCCAAAGCAAACAUCCAUGAUUAUAAUUGGGGAUACUAAUUAAAUUACAAUACAUGGAUCGGGUUGAGAAAGUCCCAUUCCUAUGAGCUCUCCACACGAAAGUGUCCCUCACCGGAGUCAGAUUAACCGUAGCCAGUAAGUGUAUCAUGGUCUGCCAUUCUACAAGCUUAAUUCCAACAAUGGAUCUCCGGAAAGAAAGAUUUAGAUUUUCAUGUGACAGCACUUCUGCAACCAGCGAGGUCUUAUUGCGUACUAUAUUAAAAAGGUUUGAGAAUUGCUAUCUAAGAGGAGAAUUAUUAAGCCAUUUAUCUUUCCAGAAUCUUGUUGCUUGUCUGUUCCCCACCUUAAAAUAUCCCCACUUGAGGAAUUUGUCCUUGACGUUCAUUAGACCGGCCCAGAAAUGAGAAUCACCCGGUUUUCUGACAGCUUGAGUUAGGGAUUUGUCUCUCAAGUAUUUGUUUCUUAAUAGUCAUUGCCACACACCAUCUUCAUUGAGUAAUUUAAAAAGACAUUUGUUGAGUAAACAAAUGUUCUUUAUAUCAAGAUUGGGACUCCCAGCCCACCUAGCUCUUUAGGUUGACAAAUGAUUUUCCAUUUGGCUAGUCUAUAUUUCUUUUUAUGAUGUCCUCCUUGCCAAAAGAAUCUGGACCGAAUAGCAUCUAGCUUCUGUAGCACACUAGUUGGGAUUUCUAAGAAAGACAUCAUGAAAAUGGGUAGGCUACUUAAAACAGAAUUAAUCAAAACAAGUCGCCCCCUUAGGACAGGAAUUUGGCUUUCCAAUUACUAAGUCUCGACUCAAACCGGUCAACGACACAACGCCACUCACUAUUUCUCAAUCUUCGGUCGGUCAUAGGAAUCCCAAGGUACUUGAAAGGCAUUGUGCCUACGCCGCAACCAAAGAGUUGUGAGUACUGGGACUCACAAUCUUUAGUCGUCCCAUAACAGAAAAGUUCACUUUUGUGAAAGUUUAUCUUAAGGCCGGACAUUUGUUCAAAAGCAGUUAUAAGCAGUUUUACAUUCCUGGCAUGUUCGAUGUUAUGAUCCAGAAACACCACCGUAUCAUCUGUAUAUUGAAGGAUAGAUAAACCUCCUUCAAUCAAGUGCGGUACAAUUCUGUUGAAUUGAUGUUCCUCUUUCGCUCUAGCGAAAAGCACUGCCAACAUAUCAGUCACAAUGUUAAAUAGAAUUGGUGAUAAAGGAUCCCCUUGACGUAGUCCCUUGUGUGUUGAGAAAAAGGGUCCUAUGUCGUCAUUAACUCUAACCCCCACGUGACCUUUUGAGACGAUACUUUGGAUCCAUGUACACCAUUUCGGCGAGAAACCCUUCAUGCUCAGAGCUUGCUGAAGGAACUUCCACUUCACCUUAUCAUAUGCUUUCUCGAAGUCUAACUUGAGAAUAAUUCCAUCUAAAUUUUCCUGUGUAGCUUAUGUAUAGAUUCAUGCAAAACAAUUACCCCUUCAAAAAUGUUACGACCAGGCAUAAACAUAGUCUGAGAGGGUUUAAUAAUUCGAUCUGCCACCAUACCUAUUCUGUUUGUGAGUACUUUAGUGAUAAUUUUAAAACUCACAUUUAGCAAACAGAUAGGUCUAUAUUCCUGGAUUUUCAAAGCAAUCUCUUUCUUAGGAAUUAACGUAAUAACCCCAAAGUUUAGUCUAUACACCGGCAAAGAAUUAUUAUGGAAGUCCUCAAAUAGAGCCAUUAAAUCACUUUUAAUAACUUCCCAGAGAACUUGAAAGAAUUCUACUGGGAAACCAUCUAGUCCCGGAGCUUUAUUAUGCUCCAUUUGGAAAACCGCCUUCCAGACUUCCUCCAUAGAAAAUGGCGAAGUUAAAAUUUCAUUCUCCUCAUUUGAAACUUGAGUGAUAUCAUUAGUAACCGAUUCCUCCAAUUCAAUAGAAGUAAAUUCCGGUUUACCAAAUAAACCUUUGUAAUAGCUAGUAAUGUGUCUUUUGAGCUCCUCCUCAUCUACUAUACUUGUACAGGAAUCAUCUUCUAGACUGUAUAUCUUCUGUUUCCGAUGUUUGCCAUUCGCCACUAACUAGAAGUAUUUCAUAUUAUCAUCACCUUCAAGCAUGUGCUUAACCUUUGCUCUUUGGAAUAAAUGAAUUUCCUCCUCUCUUAGAAUGCCAGCCAGUCGUUCAUGAAUAUAAGCUUUCAAAGCUAGUUCAUUAGGCGACAGGCGAAUAACCUCCGCCUUUUUAUCCAGAUCUUCAAUUAAAUUAGUAAGUUUAAUUUUUUUUUCCUUCUUCAUUGUUCCAGCUGUUUUUUUUGCCCACCCUCUGAGGUGCUGGCAUACAACCCGUAUUUUGUUCUGUCAUUUUUCCAUGGCAGUGCAUCCUUUCAUUUCCUGAUCCCAAAUAGAGGAAACCAUAUCAUGAAAAUCAUCUCUAAUUAACCAGCCUUGCUCAAAUUUAAACAAGGUGUGGUUACCCGUCAAAGCAGCUACUUUGCCAUUUAGUAAAAGUGGCGUGUGAUCCGACCGGGUUCGAUCAAGGGCCUCUAUAGUAACAUUUGGAAAUUUAAUAUCCCAUUCUGGACUCAUCAACACCCUAUCCAACUUCUCAAACGUUGGUGGGUCUAAGUCAUUUGACCAAGUGUACUUCCGACCCGUCAUUUCUAUUUCCCUUAGCUCUAGACUCUUUAUGACCGCAUUGAAUAAAUUAGACCAUCGAUAAUUAAAGUUGUUAUUAUUUUUGUCUUCUGGUCGUCUCAUGAUGUUGAAAUCACCUCCUAUGAUAAAAGGGUGAGGCUCUGUACCACACGCUCUUGCCAUUUCAGUUAGGAACAUGCUCUUAAGAUCAUCCUGUGUUGGGUCGUAUACCGCAAAAUGGGCCCAAAUGAAGCCAUCAGUUUUAUUUCUAAGGCGGAAUUUGCAGUAAAAGUCUCCCUCGUCUAUAGCUCCAAUAUCAAAUACGCUAGGAUUUACACCUAAGAGCAUACCUCCUGAUCCCCCUUGGUGGCAUAGAGUGCCAUAAGAAAUCAACUCCGCCACUCAAGUGUCUCAAAGUUGAAUCCGAGAAGCCACUUCUACCCGUUUCCAUAAUAGCAAUGAAGUUGAAGCGUUGUUCUUUAGAAAAAUUGGACAAAAAUGUGUUUAGACAAGUCUCCCAGACCUCAGCUAUUCCAAAAGAUCCCUUUCAUUAUAAACUGAUAUUCGAAAGGGGUGAUCGGUUUUUUAGGACGGCGAGUAACCUUUCCAAUAGAUCUGGCCCUGUUCGCUUUUUCGUACGCGACACAUCAUUUGAAUCAUAACAUAAGUCUGUGCCAUUACUAACCAUAUCAUCAUCCCAACUUUGAGUAAUGUUGGAUAACUCUGCAUCAAACUCCUCACUCUCUUCUUCAUCUGUUCUAAUAUUAAAAGGGUAAGAUAAUUUUGCAGUCACUGCAAGUCUAUCAAUCUCUAUGCUUUUAAUCAUAACUACCGAAUUUAACACUUCUUUCUCAUUUUUUGCCAAGAUUAAUCCCGAUAUUUUUCAUAUUAGAUAUAAUAGUUUUGGGGUUGUAGGUAAUAAAUGAGAACUCACUUAAGUUGCACUUGGCAGCCAAAUGCUGUGCUUUGCUCAUGAUAUCUUCAUCUGAAUCGAUUCUUUUAGCCCUACACUGCUGCUCGUCCAGAUUUAACUGUUUUUUCUUUGCGCUCUGAGUAAGAGAUAAAGAGACGAGUAACUCCUGCAAAGCCACCAAUACUUGCUCAUUAGUUUGAGCUAACAAAGACAAAGCAUGAGCCAUUUCUACAUUUUUCAGUGCCGUUUUGCUAGAACUAUUUGGUCUUUUUUUUGUGUGCUUCAAGUCUUCCUGACCUGAAGCAAACAAUGAUUUCCAUAUGUUUGGGUCAUAACUAUAGAGAUUAUCUAACACCUUACAAACUAUCGUUGUACUUAGAGCAGUGGCUUUUGUGUUGGUCAAUCUGGCUGUCUAGAAAUAAUCUAGUUUUGUUCGCCGUUAUAGGUUAUCUUUGCAUCAGUCCAUUCGAUACGUUCAUGGGCUAUUUCCAGCGAACGGAUUCACAAGACUUCUAAGGAUACAAAUACAUUGAAACAUAUUUCUAUAAAUAUCUUUAAAAUUAAAUUAAUAAAAUUUUAAGUUUAACAAAAUCAUCAGACUUCUCGUUGUCGAUAAAAAACCUUACCUAGCACUAAAAACAUAGUGCAUUCUAAAAUAUUCGGUUCUGCACAAUACCGUUAAAUUUUAAAAUGUUUAUAUUAAAUGCUAAAAUAUUCAUUUCAAACUAAAGUGCUACUGAGUAUCCUAAUUAAAACUCGUGUUGGUGAAAACGCUGCCGAACAUUUAAGCCACAGAAAGCCGAUCACGGCAGCACAGCUCUUUAGUAUCGGCCAAGGGCCUCAUGCCCAUCCCUCAAGGUCAACGGUCAUACUAGCAGGCAGAAGGUGUUGUACGACAUGCAGGGUUGCUCCAAACCCCAAAAUGGAUUUCAUUCCAAGUUCCAAACAAGAAAAAAAAGGCGCCAGCCUGCUUGCUAAACUUUCUCCCCGUGUCGAACACGGCCAAAAGUUUUCUGCAUUCAUUCAUGUUUCUCAAACUCUAAACAGAAACGGCAUUCAAUCCUCCUUGACUAAACCACGGCUAACUUUAGUCCCUCGCUGUUUUCUCCUCCGGCUUCUCUGCCUCUUCAGUUGCAUGCGCACCUCCCUCCGUGGCAGUGACGCCGACUUCGGCAGGGCGGAGGACGCGAUCGUGUAACAUGUAGCCCACCUGAAACCACACCACAAAUGUAUGUUACUCUACUGGUUGAUGAACAGCAGUACAACACAGGUUUGGCAAUCAAACUUUUGAGAAAUAUUCCCAUUUUCAAUAUAUAACCAGUUUGCAACACAGGUUUUGCAACGACCGAACCAUUUUCAAAGCUUCGUCUGUUCGCCACUGUUAGCAUGACAUACAGGUUAACUAGUUUGGCCCAGCUAAAAUCACUCAGUGUCACCAUUGGAGUAGAGCAACCAACUACUAUCCACUGCAACAGAACUGGAGAGAGCUAUUGAAACAGAAUCACACACACAGAAUAAACUGCCAGGCUACUACAACAUGAUGACAUAACAACCAUGUGUGUACCAAAACAAACUUCAAGAGAAUCAACAAACGAACAGCUGAAACGAAAAAAACACAAUGCAACGGAAACCCGAUAACUCCAAUCUAAACAUUCUUGGAUUUCCUAUAAUAUGCUGAAAAAAAGGGUGUUUUUAAGUUAACAUACCUUUACAACAGAAGCAACGGUCCCCGGUGGUUUUGAAGGAUCAGGAAUUUGAAAAACUGCACAAUGCCUGUUAGGAUCAAAUUCCUCAUUCAGCGGGUCAAAUUUUUCGACUCCAAACUUCUUGAAGACCUGUUUAGAUUGGAGGGAACCUUUUCAAUUUUCACGUUAUGGAAUACUGUAGGAGAAAAUCUAAGUUAAGGGCUAGUUUGGGAACCCCAUUUUCCCAAAAGAAAUCAGUUCAUUUUCUCUUGGGAAAAUAGAAAUCUCUUGUAAAAAUGGAGUUCCCAAACUAGCCUUACAAGGGGAAAUGGCUGAAAACUUUUCUCCAGGAGAGAACCCUUUUUCAGAUAAAGAAAACUCAUAACAGAUAAAGCACCUCUGCAAGUUGCUUCUCAGUCAUGUCCACACCCUCCAGCAGGGUUUUCAGUAGUGGGACAGCUCCAGCAGAAUCUUUUGAGGUAUCAAUUUUCGAGAAGCUUUCCUUGACAACAGAUGAUGCCCUAGCCAAAUUGUCAGCAACAUCUAGCAGGCUCUUAGAGAAGUUCUGCACGAACAAUCAUUACAGAUGCCAUAGGUAAAGCUAAUUCACAAUAUUUUACAGAAAUGUAUGUCAAAAUCCUCUCUGCAAUUGAAUUUUUCAAUGAUUGGAAUGGUAACAGCAGACCUGUACUGCAUAUUUUUUGGAGUUCUCAGAUUCACGUUUUGUCCGAGCAAUGAUAUUUUCCAUUUCUGCAUAGCUGCGCAAAACCUUAUCCUUCAUAUCUUUGAUUUCACCAUCUUUGGACUUCAACAAUUCAUCCUUCUCACGAACUAGCUUCACCAAAUCAUCUCUCGACAGAUCAAGGCCUUCAAUACCUGAAUCAGAAAUAUGCAGUCCAUUAGUACCUAUACCUCCUACUAAAAGAUUGGGACAUCAGUAUUGCAAACAUGGUUCUGAUGUGUUCUCACUUCCAGAUGGACAAUCUUCACUUGAUCCAUCUAAGGCCCUUUCGUGGUCUUUCAGCUCAUUAACCUCAUCAUCACUUUGUUGUGGUGAAACAGACGAGAAACCAAUCUUUUGAAAAAUGCUGGUUGAGUAUCUGAAAUGAUGAUUCAAAAUAUUUGGAACCUGGACAAAAACAAGUAAAGCAUCUAUAAGAACAGAAUAAACUAUAAGAGAUGGAGAAAAAUAGUUUACCAAAUAGCAUGAACACCUAGCACUAUUUUAUUAAUCUAGGAAUUCCAUAAGCAGUCCCCAGUAAAUAGUAGUCAACAAAUUUAACACAAUAGCAAGAAUGAUGUUUCAACAGAAGUUGUUACAACUAAACAAAACAGAUUACUACCAGAAGUCCAAUACCAACAGAUGGUACUGGUUUUAUAGAAGAAUGUGAGUAACAAUACAUGCAUCAUCAGUAUUUGCAAAAAUAACCAUAAAACAAAGGAAGGAAGAAAAAAACACAUACUUCCUGUCUGCCAAAAUUAUAUCCUUCCCUAAACAGUCAACAUGCAAUGAUUACAGUUGAAAUGGAUACAUUGAAGUAAGAAGUUCCAUAGACAAUUCCAAUUACCCCCACUCCAUGUAUUUUCACACUUGUAGUAGUACCAUGUUGGAAAAAGGAGAAGUGUUUGUAAAAUGGUAGAAAAGAGAAAAAUAAGCACCCGUGCACCAUGUACCCUGAUAAGUCCAACUUAAGUACCAUGUCAUCUCAAGUAGGUGUUUAGUAAAAGAGAACAGUGGUUUAUCACAGAAUCCCUAAAUACAACCAACUUUAUUUUAUACAGAACAUCCUAGGGACUUAUGUUUAAUAAACUUUAAAUCUUUUAAAUAAAAAAAUAUUUUCGGAUAAGAAGAGAACAUAAAAAUAGGCUCCUAAGUUUGCUAUAUGGGUUUUAAUGUCAAGCGACUAGUCGAGAAGUCGGUGCAAAUGUGGUAAUCGAUCUGGGCGACUCGACUUUCUCUGCUAGUCGCUCCACUUAUCGACUAGUCGGAGCAACUUGGCCGGGCAAUUUAUUUCGGCCCAGGUAUAAAACUGUAGGCCCACCCAGCCAUCUCAACCGUAGCCAUCACUGACCACACCACACAUCCCAAAAAUCGAGUGGGGAAACUUUUCGUGUACCAGUGCAGUGCUUCCAAAGCCAUUUCAAUGCCACAACAGUCAGGGUACAACCCAGGUGCCACCAGUUCGCCGGUGACGGCUACCACUAGAGAUCACCUCCUCCCGUUGAUGCUCCUUCCUUGCUCCAUCCUCCCUCCUCUGCUCCUUCCUUCCGUGCUCGUCUGCUCCCUCUCUCCGCCACGAUAUGCUCAGCUGCCAGACAUGCCACCUCUCACUCUCCCUCUCCUUGUCAUGCUCUGGAUCUAUGCUCUGCUCAUGCUCUUGUGCAGUUCUACCUCCCUGCUUUUCUCAAUCCCUUGCACUGCUCUGAUAUGGACUUGAUUUCCAUCCUCUUUCUCCUAUAGGCAGCAAGCCAAGGGAACUGAGCUGUUCCACAUGAUCCAUCCAAGGACCCAUUGAGAAAUCAAGCUAAGCCCAAGGAUCCAGCAUGGAAGUAUGCAUUUUUGCCAAAAUUGGAGAGGAAGGAUCUCCUCCAAUGUACUUUGUGCAACAAGCAUGUGUAUGCUAGAGUACCAAGAAUGAAGCGACACCUUUGUAGAGGUUAUUCUGAUGUAGAGAAACAUCCAAAAGCAACUGCAGAAAAUUGGCAAGAGAUAAACAAGUACUUGAAGACUAAUUCAAGGAAGUUCAGAUCUGCAGAACUUGAUCUUGAUGGUGAGGAUGAGAAUGCAGCAGAUGAUGCUCAGGUAGCUCAGCACGAGAACACUAAGGGAGCAAAAAAAUCAAGUGCAAAGAGAAAGGAACCAGGAACAUCUUUUCAAGUUUCUCGGCUGCCACAGAAGAAAUCAGUUGUUGACAUGAUUAGAAAGACUCUAAAAGAGGUAGUUGCAGAGCAGCAUGCCUCAUGCAUGAAUCAACUUACAAUGGAACAUAGCACUAAAAAGACAAAAGAACAGAAGCAAAUUGUGGAUGAUCAUGUGGCUGCUUUCCUGUAUGAAAACUGCAUACCUCUCAAUGUUGUCAACUCAAGAAAUCGGGAGGUUUUGCUUGAGUCCAUAGAGCAGUAUGGACCUGGAUAUAGAUCACCAACCUACCAUGAGGUGAGAGUGCGAUUGCUGGAAAGAGCAAAGUCCAAGAGAGAUGAACUGAAGAAGCAUGAACAUGCAUGGAAAGAGUAUGGCUGCACACUCAUGUCAGAUGGGUGGACUGACAAGAAAGGUUACAGUUUGAUAAAUUAUCUUGUUAAUAGUCUAGAGGAUAACUUGUUCUUGGGGUCAAGCAAUCUUUCUUCUGAAUCAGUCACUGCAGAACUGUUAGCACAGCUGUUGGAGCAGCCGAUUAAUGUAAUUAGGAAGGAAAAUGUGAUCCAGCUUGUCACAGAUAAUGGAGCCAAUCACAAGGCAGCAAGGAGGAUGCUAAUGGACAAGUUUCCUGCCUUAUUUUGGACGUCUUGUGCUGCCCAUUGCUUGGAAUUGGAUCUAAUGCUGGAGGAUAUUGGGAAGAUAAAAGAGUUCAGUGGCUGCAUUGCUAAAGCAAAGAAGAUAACCAUAUUUAUCUAUGGGCAUGAAAGGAUUCAUGACUUGAUGAGGACCAAGACAAAUGGUGGAGAUCUUGUACGACCUACGACUAAUCGGUUUGCAACAUCCUUCCUAACAUUGGCUAGUAUGUGGAAAGUGGAAACAAUAGACAAGGGCUGAAAGAUCUCUUUGUUAGUGAUGAAUGGUGUGAGAGCAAAUUGAAGAACACUAGAGUAGGAAAAGCAUGUGUUGUUUGUUGUAUUUUAGCAAGUAGUAGAAGAUUGCAUGAGAGCUUCAUAACCUCUUCUAAUAGUCUUGAGGAUUGUUAAUUGCGAUGAGAGACCAGCAAUGGCUGAAAUGUGGGCUACCAUGGACCAUGCAAAAAAGAGCAUCAAGAAAGCUUUGGAACACAAGGAACGAUUAAUGAAUGAAGAAAUUUCUAUUGUUGAUAGGAGGUGGGAUGGUGAUAUGGAGACCAAUCUGUAUGGGGCAGCAAUGUUUUGAAUCCAAACAAGUUCUUUAAAAAUCAGAUAGAACAAUAGAAGACUUGCUACAAGACUCUGUUCAAUAUUUAAUGAUGUACUAGUGUAUUGUGCGCGCCUUGCGCGCGUGUUCAGCCGUGUUUGAAAACAUGUGUGUGACCAUAUUUAAGUAGAUGGGAAGUUCUCCAAAAACGAAGCCAACAGAGAAAAGACGAAACGCCCGUCAGAAAUAUCUAGAGACUUAUUACGCUGGAGCGAUUGAAGACGUAGAUGGAGGAUCGAACGCACGCACGGAAUUGUGAAGACGUGGAUAGGCCAGUUGGGGCCAUUUAUGUCCGGCUUUAAAGAUAAGGAAAUUUUGGAAGAUGGAGGUAGAUGAAGCCAGGAUGAGCAACCAAGCAGAUGAUUAUGAGCGCACAUAAGAUCCUUGCUUCACUAAAAAAUGUCCAUCAAAGAUAGACACCGAAGACUAAGUAUAAAGGAAGGGGAGAAGGAUGUCUAUAAGAUGGCUAGGAUUCGGGAAAGGAAGACGAGGGACCUCAACCAAGUUAAAUGCAUUAAGGAUGAGAUAGAUCAACUCUUGGUGAAAGGACAAGACAUCAAACAGAGGUGGUAGAGAUAUUUUGACAAUCUUUUCAAUGCUGAGAAUGAGACUAUGGACACCCAGUUGGAUGACUCCUUUGAUGAUUUAAAUAGAUGCUUUGUACGCAGGAUCCAAGAGUCAGAAGUCAAAAUGAAGCCAGGAUGAGCAACCAAGCAGAUGAUUAUGAGCGCACAUAAGAUCCUUGCUUCACUAAAAAAUGUCCAUCAAAGAUAGAGACACCGAAGACUAAGUAUAAAGGAAGGGGAAUGGAUGUCUAUAAGAUGGCUAGGAUUUGAGAAAGGAAGACGAGGGACCUCAACCAAGUUAAAUGCAUUAAGGAUGAGAUGGAUCAACUCUUGGUGAAAGGACAAGACAUCAAACAGAGGUGGUAGAGAUAUUUUGACAAUCUUUUCAAUGCUGAGAAUGAGACUAUGGACACCCAGUUGGAUGACUCCUUUGAUGAUUUAAAUAGAUGCUUUGUACGCAGGAUCCAAGAGUUAGAAGUCAAAGAAGCUUUAAAGAGGAUGAAAGGGGGCAAGGCGAUGGGCCCGGAUGGUAUCCCAAUAGAGGUGUGGAAAUGCCUUAGGGACAUUUCUAUAGUUUGGCUAACCAAGUUGUUCAACCAUAUUUUUCGACCAAAUAAGAUGCCCGAGGAGUGGAGUACAUUAGUAUCAAUCUUCAAGAACAAGGAAGAUAUUCAAAGUUGUACCAACUAACGAGGGAUUAAGCUCAUGAGCUGUGGCUAUGGGAGAGAGUUAUUGAGCAUCGCUUGAGAGGAAUGACACAUAUCUCCAUGAACCAAUUUAGAUUCAUACCUGGAAGGUCAACCAUGGAAGCAAUUUUCUUAAUAAGACAAGUCAUAGAGCGGUAUAUGGAGCAGAAGGACUUGCACAUUGUUUUUAUCGACUUAGAAAAGGCCUAUGAUAAAAUACCUAGGAAUCUCAUGUGGUGGGCAUUGGACAAGCUGAAGUCCCAACAAAGUAUGUUACGCUCAUCAAGGACAUGUAUGACAAGGUUGUCACUAGCGUCCCAACAACUGAUGGUGAUACAAAUGUUUUCCCGAUUAACAUAGGACUAUAUCAAGGUUCAACUUUGAAGGGCAGGCCUGGUGCAGCGGUAGAGCCUACCGUAUGUAACCGGAAGGUCCCGGGUUCGAGCCCCAGCCUCUGCAUAUUAUGCGGGUAAGGCUUGGCGCUUAAAGAUACCCUUCCCUAGACCCCGCACAGUGCGGGAAGCCUACGGCACUGGGUACGCCCUUUUUUAUAUCAAGGUUCAACUUUGAGCCCUUAUCUAUUUGCCUUAGUGAUAGAUGAGGUCACGAGGAAUAUACAAGGAGAUAUCCCUUGGUGUAUGCUUUUCGUUGAUGAUGUAGUUCUAGUAGAUGAAAGUUGGGAAGGAGUAAAUAGAAAGCUAUAGUUAUGGCGUCAGAUCCUACAGUCAAAAGGUUUUAGAAUUAGCAGGACCAAAAUCGAGUAUAUGAGAUGUGUGACUUUGGUACUACAAUUAGUGAGGAUGGAGAUGUAAGUCUGGGAGAUCAGGUAGUACCAAAGAAAGGCACCUUCCGUUAUUUGGGAUCGAUGUUACAGAAUGAUGGUGAUACUGAUGAAGAUGUUAGCUAUAGGAUCAAAGCGGGGUGGAUGAAAUGGCGUCAAGCAUCGGGAGUCCUAUGUGACAAGAAAAUGUCACAUAAGUUGAAAGGCAAGUUCUACAGGACGGCGAUUAGGCCUACUAUGUUAUAUGGGGCUGAGUAUUGACCUACUAAGAGACAACGUAUCCAACAACUAAGUGUCCUAGAGAUGCAUAUGUUGUGUUGGAUAUGUGGGAACAUAAGAUUGGACCGAGUGAGAAACGAUGAUAUACGCGACCGGCUAGGAGUAGCGUCAAUUGAAGAAAAGCUUAUUCAACACCAGUUGAGAUAGUUUUGGCAUGUCCACCGGAGACCCCCAAAGGCACCGGUGCACAGAGGCAUCAUAAGACAGGACAAUAAUGUGAAGAGAGGUAGAGGGCAGCCAAACUUGACAUGCGAGGAGGCAAUCAAAAGGGACGUGAAGGAAUGGAAUAUCUCAAAGGAGUUGUGUUUGGCUAGAAAUACUUGGAAAGAAGCUAUCCACGUGCCCGAACCGUGAUUAGGCAUUUUCCCUUUUAGUUCUCUCAAAAGCUUUUUCCCCUCCCCUUUCUCUCUCUUUCUCUUUUUGAUGACUUCUUGUUGGGUUUCAACUCUAGCUUAGAACUAAAAGGCUAUGUUGUUGAUGUAAAGAUAGAGACAAGAAGAGCCCUUGUAAGUUCGAUAUUUCAGAUAUCCAACUACAAUUUUAGAAUUAAACUUCUGAAAUAUGAACUACAAUUUUGGGUCUCUUUAGACCCUUGUCUCUCUCUUAAUAUAUAUCUAAAACGCAGUCCUCCUACGUUUUUCGAGAAAAAAAUAUGAACUGCAAUGCUAAGAUUGAAGUAUUCAACUACUAUUUUUAAGUGUUAGUGCUUUGGUGGAGUGCAUAUGGUGGCCUUGCUUAUGAGCUUCAAUGCUUAGCAAAAAAACUGUAAGUUUUUGUUGUGCAGCCUCCGGACAAGUUGAUGAAGCAGUUUGUGCUAAUAUGUGCUGUCUAAUGAAUUGAAUGCUUAAGAUAAUAACAAAACUUAGGUUGUUUUAUGGUGUUUUUCCAAUGUCCCAACUUUAUUUUGUGGCCUGGAAUGUGUAAUGUUGGCCACUCUCCAGAUUUUAUUUUGCUGUUCUAUUUAGAAGUUGGAACUUUGGAGUUUAGAUGUUGCUUAUUAUCGAACUUUGGAUGACUGUAAGUCUGUAAUAUGGCAUUUGGAUCUAGAUAUUGCUGUUUUAAUUUGCUGAUAUGUGCUGUCUGAAUUUGUUGCUUUAAUAUGCAUAAUGACUUGUUGGGUGAUAUACUACUGUUUUUUAUUUAAUGUUCAGAAGAAAACACUUAAUAAUUUUGUGAUUUUGUCCCUUUUAGGGUGCUGCAGGACAUGAGCAGAAAUGCCUGCACAUUUCCAGGUUCAAUGCCCUUCUUUCACCCUUUUUUGUGUUUCAACGUGUUUUUUAGUUUUUAGCAUAUAUAGAAAACUAUAAAAAUUUAAUCAUCAACUUAUGAUCGACUAGUCAUGACUAGUCUGUCCUAGUCGGUAGCUGCAUAACUCAAUUCGACUUCUCGACUUGAAAACAGUUAUACCACAUUUAAUGUACACUAUGUGGUACAGCUCUGUGUCUCCUCAUCUGACACUAACACUAACAAGUGAGGUAGAAUAAGAAAUAAAUUCAGUUAUUCAAAAGGAUAAUGUGGUGACUAUGCGAUUCCAUUUUUCAUAAAUGUGUUUAAGUCUAUAUUUCUACUUAGAACAACAGUGUCGAUCGGUCCUUCUGAAGUUUGUUGCUUCAACAUGGAUGGGUGUUCUUUUAUUAACCCUGAGCCUUUGCUACAGAUAGGAGCUACAGUAGCAAAGGCUCAGGGUUAACUUACUUAACACUCUUGUCGCAAAGGCUCAGGGUUAAUAAAAGAACAGACAGGAUCACUUUAUUAUUAGAACCAAAAUAUCAUCAAAACUAAAAUGUGAAGACAUCAAAGGCUGCUACUUAUCUAAAAACAUAUAUAGCUAAACUGCUUAACCAAUACAUUGCAAAACUGCCUAAACCCCUAAGAAGCAGCUACCAGACAAUUUGAAUUAACACAAAAAACCUAACUUUACUCACAGCUUGCUUCGCUCUCAUGUUUGACAGUAUAAAAUUGGAAUGUUACCAAACAAACUUCCAUAAAUAAUAGCUGUGCUCUAAAACACUGAACUACAAAUGUGAGGAACGAAGAACAAUUAUGAGCCAACACAUCCUCAAUUAGCACAUACACAAGACAUCACUAAGGCUCUGUGUAGGUUCCCAUUCAGUUUGCACGAAUCAAAAUAUGUCACCUAGAUAAAUAUCACAAGUUAUUGCCUAAAACCCUCCUAGCAACAACAAUUUUGAUUGAACGUCAUCUCACGGAAUUUUUCGUUAUCCUACACACAUUCCAAUACACCAUCUUAACCUCUUAGAACGAUAAGAAAGUGCAAAUUCCAGCUCCGCCGACAAACUCAACGCUAAAUCCCUAGUGUGAAUCGCAUUCAUCAAGCGCUGCUAAAACAUUAAACCCCAGGACUGGCACCACAGCAAUCACCAACAGACCCUGGAAUCACAAAACAUGGGCCACAAGAGAUGGUCCAGAAAUCUCACCCCGACAGGCAGGGAGGAACCGGCGAACUGCUCCACGGCCGCCGCUGCCAGGGCCCCCCGGUGCCGCCCCGCGGCUGAUGACGCAGCCGCUGCGCCGGCGCAAUGCCGGUAGAGUCGCGCGAAGAGGCGCCGGGUCACCAUCCUAAUACUGCCUUGAUUUCUGCCGGAAGCAGAGAGAGAAGAGCGGAAGCGUCUGGAAGGGAGCUCCUGCGGAUGGUAAAUGAGCUCUUUUUUAUGGUGUUUAUGUCUUUUUGGCUCUAGAGGUUUUAGGCUUGUCGCCCAAGAAGAUAGAUUUUGUUAACAAAAUCUGCGAAGGGUUGUAUGUGAAGGGUUGUAUGUAACGACCGUAUCUUUGAGGGUGGGUUAACAAAUCUGCGGAGGGUUGUAUGUAACGACAAUAUCUUUGAGGGUGAGCAAAACUCUAAGGGGUGUUUGGUUUAUAGGGACUAAACUUUAGUCUCUCCACUUAAUUCUAUUUUAGUUCAUAAAUUGUUAAAUAGGGAAACUAAAUUUUAGUUUUAGUUUAUAUAUUUAGUAAUUUAGGGACUAAAUUGGAAUAAAAUGAAGGGACUAAAAAUUAGUCCCUAAAAACCAAACACCCCCUAAGGUGUCGUUUAGUUUGCAAAAUAUAACAUAAAUGGUAACAGUAAUGAUUUGGUAAUUAAGUUUGAAUAAAACAGUAUCAGUUUCUAGUAUGGUAUCUUAUUACGGUUGGACUUAACUAAACAUAGUUUGACGUUAUCGGUUACCAUUCACGUUACAAAUAUGUGAACCAAACAACACCUUAAGAAUGAGCUGGCUAGAGACUCCAAACACUAACUCCAGAUUUGCAAAUUUUAUGAAGUUUUAAGAGCUACAGUAUAUAUUUUUGGAGUACCUAUUUUGCUGCUUCGAAUUUUCUAAAAAACAACCUAGAGAUGGAAUUUGGUGUUUAAUAGUCGUCUAAAUGGGUUGAAUAAGUGAAACCUUAAAUUUAAUUACUUAAAACAAAACUUGAUCACAAAUUAGUUUGUUAGAACAAGAGGUAAGAUAAUCAAAGUUAAGGAGAUGAGUUCUUCUCGUGAAGUGUUGCUCUAAUGAGUUUGCAUAAUAAACUUGGGAGCGACACAAGAUGAUUAGAAUGAAAAUCAAUGUAGGAGAACUUAGGGAGGAAGGAGGAAAAUAAAUCGUAAAGCAUCAAACACAAGAGACACAACAAUUUGUUUACCGGAGUUCGAUUUUCAAACAAAACAUACUUCUCUAUUGGGGUGUCCCAAAGGACCGAGUUUCUUUGAACCCUCUAAAGUGAUUCUAAUAGUCAUCUCUCUUUUCCCAUUCUCAAUGAAUAGAUCGAAGUCUCAGCAAGGCGCUCCACAAGCUUGGAGGCUCUUGCUAGCCUUUACAAUUGAUGGGAGUCAAAACUCAAAGUAGAUCAUAUGAACAACACACACUCUUUGAUAUGGCUCUCUCUCUCUCAAGCCACUAUCACUUAUCACACAAAGGAACUAGCUCUAUUUGCUCAAUUCUCUCUUUUGUGGAACUUGGAAGGCUUUGAUCACUUGUAAGUGUUGCUCUAGUGUAUUAGGGUUAUUGCUCAACUCUUGUGUAUUGAAUGAGCUGGUUGGGGUGUAUUUAUAGCCUCAACCAUCCAAAUAGUCGUUGGGAUCAAAUCCAAAAUCUGCUCUUUCUGUGGGUGCACCAGACCUCCUACAGUACAGGUCUAGUGCACACCGGACCUCUGCCACGCCUGUAGGUUCAGUGACCACUCUAAUCCUCUAUCAGCUUGUCAGGGGCACCAGACCUACAACGUCGGCGCCAAGUCACCCAACUAUUGUGUAAAGUGCAUCCGACUGUUGGGUGUACGGGUGGUCCAAUGCUCACCAGAUCGAAGUUCGGUGUUCCAACUGCUCCAAGUCCAAAAACGUUUCUGCUUAAGUGGUCAUGUGCACCAACCCACACAAGCCCAGGAAAUUGCCUCUCUGCGCAUUGUCUUUCGCACUUAGGCGCACAGCGUGCCGUUGGUAAUGAUUAUACUACUUUUACGAUGCUGCAAAUUCGCAAGCUGGUCCGUAGAUUAAGUAAUCAUUGUUGACACUAAACCAGACAUAGCUCAUCUUAGGAACACUACAGAAACACUGCUUUGAAGUAGUAGAUUAGGGGAUAAGAAAAGAAAAAGGCGAGUGAGAGUCUCAUUUUCAAAUGAGAUCUGGUGACCCACUAGACUGGUCCGGUGUAAACCGAACUCGGUCCGGUGUGCCGCAUAGCAGCAUAUUAAAUCAUUUUAAACUUUUUUUUUAUUUAUCUUUAUUUGGUUGUCUUCUUGAGAAUUCAUAUGACUUAUACAAACAUACCUAGAGUUAAUUCAACUAGUCUAAGUCAUUGUUCUUCAUCUUUUUGAAUUGUUCGACUCAUAUUCUCAUGUUGGCUCAAACUUAGCUCCAAACAAUAUCAAUUUAUGAACUUUCCAACCUCUCUAAGGUGCUCAAAUUUGUUCCUAAGGGCAUUUAUAACUUUUCCAAACACUUGAACUACUCACAGUUCACCUUUUCCAAGAUAUUCCCUUUGUAGCCUUGUUUGAGUUAGUCUAUAAUGUUGUGAUGGUCAUCAAAUACCAAAACUAAUAUAGAAAUGGCUCAAAGCUAGGGGUGCAAGUGGUGUGGAUAAUUAUCCGAUCCGAUUCGAAUCCUAAUUAUAUGGAUAUGGUAGAGGAGUUAUUAUAUCCAUGGGGAUAUGGAUAAUCUGAAUCUGAUCUAUGUGCGAACGCGGAGUAGGAUAUGGUAUCCCGACGGAUAUGGAGUAUCCGAUAUUUGAACAUGGAUUAUCUGAUGCUUAAAAUAUGAUGAUAUCUGAUUAGUUUGUCAAGUACAAGAGAAACAGAGAGUCAGUCAACAAUGAUUGAUUACUGUCCAAAUAAAACUAAAAUUUCUAUACAGUAGAACAAGAAAUAAAAUGUUACACACGAUAGAAAUCAAUCGCCACCCCAACCCAACAGGCAACAAGCCAACAUAAAUCAAUCAGCGAUCAACCAAUCACACACUGUAUAGUGUGUGUCGUAAUGCUAUUUAUUAUUUACCUAUUUAGUUAUUUAUUUAGCUAUAUUCAAGUUAUAUUGUCAAUUAUUAAACUUUAAUUUAUGAAUUAUUGAUCUCUAUAAAAAUAGAUGUAUACAUGUAUUAUCCUACCAUUUUUGACAUCCUAAAAUAUCCAUAUCCUCAACUGCAUAAUAUUCGCUUUGAUCCAAAUCCAACGAUAAAAAUAGGAUUAUGAUAUGGAAAAGGCAUUAUCCGCUCUGAUCCGAUCCGUUUGCACCCCUACUCAAAGCCCAUUUUCCUUUUAGAGUUAUUUGCCUACCACUGGUUAUGAGUAAGCAAUCUAAACUUUGGUGUAGAGCUACUCCACCCAGAGUUUUGGAAUAGAGUUGCUCUGAAGUGGAGCGGAGCCAUGCCAAACACGCUCUAAAUCUAUACAAUCUCACUGAUAAGUGAAGAGACUAGUCAUCAUUGUUUCCUAUCUCUUUGUAUUUAUGUCGUCGCGGGGAGAGAAACGAAAAAACAUGUCUUCCAUAUCUCACUCAGGCAUCUAUUGAUAACAUGAAGGUUCAGGGUCUAGAUGUUGUUACUCAACACAUCAUCAUCACUGCUCUACCCAACAUUGUUGCGGAUCCAAUCUAUACCAACUCUCAACCAAAUCGACAGGUUCUUAGUCUUACUGGAUUGUUUUGCACGACAGACUUCGUCUUCAUUCGCUAAAUCAAGAAACACAGUAUAUCAUUCUUGAUCUGCUCUAAACUACGGUUAGAUGCAUGUUCUCAACCAAUCUUGAUCUAUUUAAUCUAGAUAAGUUUAUGCAGUUAGAUGCAUGCUCUAGAUUGUCUUUUUGCAAUCAGAUGCAUGUUGUAGAUUGAAUUCUCAUGGUCAGAUUGAUUUUGUGGCCACGUGUCACCAUGCUCGUCACGCUGCCACCCACUGCGCUUAUCAUGUGCGUUAUCGAACCGUCGUAAGUCACACCUAUCGCACCCAUGAGCCGUAGUCAUCACCAAUCACGCUUGUCACUCGCGCUGGACCAUGCGAAUGUCUGCCAUCUGGACUACACCCCCAAUGGGCUACCAAUAUGGGCCUCACUAGGCUGCCCACCAACCAUGCGGAAAUGCGUCUAUGACUCAAUGCUUUCCCUUGAUACGACUUGGAUGGCUAGAGGAUAGUGAAUAGCCUACAAAAUUACUCUAAGAAAACUUAACAAAACAACUAGAGACAAGUUGAAACUACAAGUGGAAGCGUAUAUCUUGGUCUAGUUCUAAUUUACUUUUUACUAGCAACAUGAACAAGAUAUAAAUAACAACAAGCAAGAUAGAGUACUCUACAUAAUAUUAUGUAAAGUAUGAGGUAUGAUAAGUAAAUGUAAUGACAAGAGUAAUUUAUAACUCUAAUCACACAAGGCAAGAGAUGAACACAAUAUUUAUCCUCAAGGUCCGGUUGUUUAUCGACAACCUACAUCCUUGUUAUAGUGAGUCCAAACUAGAUGUUCCAUGUUUUAUUGGCUUAAUAAGCCAAGCCCAUGAACUGUACUAUAAGAAUCACUAGCUAGAAAGGCACUUCAAUAAGCCACUAUUUCACUAGAGUAGCUCUUCGUGAAUCUCUUGUGACAAACAAACACAAGUGCCCCUCACAAGAAUGAUUGGAGCCAUCAACAAUCAUUAAUACUGCUCAAUGAUCCCUUAAUCACUAGGCCAUCUAAGUGACAAUAAUCAUCAUGAGUAACAAGAGUAUAACUAGCCCAACUCACUCAACUAGUGCCAUAAGAUGCAUGAACUCUAUGUAAUGCUCUAAGAGUGCUCUAGUCUCACUUAAGUGAUGAUCUAUAUGUUUGGAGUGAGUGAAAUGUAUUUUUUAAACCUUGUAUAAAAGUGUUAUAGAUUAUGACAUACCAGCUAAGACCGACCAAGGGGUGUAUUUAUAGCUCCCUAAAGAAAUCUAGUUGUUAGAAUAAAUAUUUCAGAAAUUAGAUGCACCAGACAUGUCUGGUGCGGUGCAAAUAGGUCGGUGUCCUUCCAAUGGCUAUAAUCCUAACAACUAUAAACUAGAUGUUAACCAUGUCAAAUGUCUAGUGUGAGCAUCAGACAAAUCAUCAGACACAUCUGACGUGUUAUACAAUGUUAGACAUAUAUUUAUUCAUGCAUAAAGUUGCCUAUUGAUAUUUAUAGAGAAAGAAGUAGUGGAUAUACAAUGUUAGACAUAUAAUUAUUCAUGCAUGCAUGUACUUGUCCACAUGACCAUAUGCCUAGCUAGGUUGCCGCACCAUCCACUGCCUCUGUAUUUGGUUAGCAAGCUAUUUUAGGUAUGAUUAGGAUUAGAUUCAAUCAUCCCUGAUUUAUCUCCUUUGAUUGCCACUCACGAUGUCUCCAAAUGUCGUGUCGCUACACUAACUAGUAAAAUGGCAAAGUUGAACACUCCAUUUGGACCUAAAAGUACAUCUACACCUUUGUGGGUUUUGGUGAAUUAAAUGAGAACAAUAUUAAAGGACUACUUAGUUUGUCACGUGUUGAACAAGAAACUAAGCAUAAAGCAUAUGUCUUAGUGAAAGGCAUACAAGGUUCAACAUAAGAGAACAAUAUGAUAUUUCAUAGAAAGAUCAGUUAGGAUUAUGGAUCAUGGAUAUCACAAGAAUAAGGAUUUGAUACGAGAUCAACACUUAGAUCAGAUAGUGAAGAAUUCAAUGUACACUCAAAGUGGUGUGACUUAAGGAAAGCUUGACAUAGUGAAGAUAGCAAGGAAAAGGGCUUCGAUGGACUAAGAAAAGGAGAAUAUCAAGAGGACUAACCAAGGCUAAGCUGAAGAAGUAAGUACUUGCAUUUAGUCGAGGGACUAAUCAAGCUCAAGGGAAGUCAUGCAAUAUUGGGUGAUCCUUGUUGAAGAAAGAUGAGAAGAAGGAUGCACAUUGAUUAAAUUGGUUUUCAAUAUGAUUUGACUUGGAGACUAUCUAAUAAGGUGAAGACAGACAAGGAAAAGGCUUCAAGGGACUAAGCGAAGAUGAAGAUCAAGCAAAUGUCUUAUGGACCAAGGUACCAUAGUGAAGCGCCCCAAUUUUGUGGGACUCAAAUGUGAUAUUACUAGUCCCAGGAGGCUAGUAAACACAUUUAUACAUCAGAUGAUUCCAGAUCUGUUUAAAUGAGACAAACCUAUAAAGGUGGCGAUCAACUUUAAGAGUUGGUCCACAACUUGGGACAUAUCAUCAGAGUGGGGCUGAAGUAGCUCGAUAUACGCAGCGAAGCAAAUCAGCGGUCCAACAGCCACAGACAAGGUUGGGAACAGGCGUAACUCUUACCCGAUCAACGAUCUCCUUCUCUGAAAAACAACAAAUAAGCAAGGGUGAGUACUUACGUACCCAGCAGCCCAUCUUCACCCACGGAAUGGGAAAAUUAGAUAUAAUGCAUGGAGUAUGUGGAGAUCAGGAUAUUUUGCAGAAAUAGCGAUAUUUGAUGCAGGGUUAUUUUGUAAAACAUUUCAUAUUUUUCAAAGGGCAUCCUCUCCCAAUGGAGCAGGAAGUUUUUUAGUAUAGAACAAAAUCCCCUGGACUAAACCAUCCAGGUAUCUCAGUAGUUUCCCACUGGUUUUCAUUAUAAAAAACGGCUAUUGGACUUCCCAUCCACCAUAGCUCACGGCCCAACCACCGGACCUUUUAAAACCACUUUUCCAAAGCUUUUUUUGGAAAACAAAACACUAAUUGUCAAAUCCAUGCCAUGACUCAUCCAUAUCCGUGGAUGCGGACUAUUCGAAUAGGUUUUUAAACUCUGCGCAGAGGUGUACACUUUACCCACUAGUCCGGUUUCUGCAAUCUCACCAUCGUGAGAUCCGAAUGUUGAAACUCUUUCCUUCCUUGCAUGUACUUACCUUAGCGAUUAUAACGGAAUGAACAAGGCCACCACCAUGUCCAAACCGGACAAAACAUUCCCCUUCCUUAUCCUCCUGGUGCUCCCCAGCCGUCAUAAUCCUGGGGUUCGGACCGUGCAAGUCCAGAUCAAGCGACUGGCCAUAUAGUCUCGAGUGGUUGUACUUGAUAAAAGUAUAGGUAAGGAGUGAUGACAAACCGGUUCUUAGGCGAGAGGGACAAUCCUUCAUGCUCACACCUAACCCGACUGAGCCAUCACCUUAGGCCCUCCCCUAAACCAGGGAGUCCCUAAUCAUCCCACUCAAGGGUGAUAAGGGUGACAACCCUUCAUCAUACCCAUUUUGAAAAACAUUUUCUUUUGAAAACUCACACCUUUUCUCAAAUCAUUUGUAACAAAGAUGUCAAGAAGUAUAAAGAUGAAUUGCGGCAAAGUUCUAAGGGUGGGUGGCCAUAAUAACUUGUCUUUUAGCAGCAAAAUCAUAUCAUGCAUAAAAUAACAGGCUGAGGGUUGUGGUUGAAAAGCAUAGGUAAUUUAUGCAUCAAAGGGAUCCAGUGAGCUUGUCGUUGCUUAACCGACGAAAGGGUGAGAGCUCACGGAACUGGCUUCUGGCUCUACCGUCUGGCGUAGACUUGCAGAACUUGCCUUCACGAGACGACAUGAAUGCUCCGAUAACUAUGCAACAUGAACAAACAAACAUACAAACCAUCAAGUAUAUCAACAAAUAUUUAGUAUAGUCGUCAGAAUGGUGAUAUAUGGAUGGGUAGAGUCUUGAGCAGAAUCUGUGUCAUGUGGUGGUGGAGUGGAGAUGCUUACCAGGAGGGUGGAUUGGAGGCGAAGCGACACUAUGCGCGUAGCCAACAGAGCGGAGUAACUGAGUGGGUGGGGUGUUUGCCUUGGCUGAGGGUGUUGAGUGUGUGGAGAGGGAGAGGGUAGCUGGGUGUAUUUAUAGCUGGGUGUAUGUGGUGUAGUACAGUAAAGUUCACUGUUGGUGAGAAUAGUGAUGAAUGAAUCGUCCGACUUAGUCUGAACAGGGAAAUUAUAGGCAGAAUAUGGGACAAGAGUAUUUUGGGAGUUUUCUACAAUAUGAACAAUGCUUAAGGGAUGACAUGGUUGGAUAGGGAAUAAUUUGAUAAGAAUUUAGAAACAAGAAUUAUUGGAAUCUGAGUUUGGAAGCCUAGUUCGAAAGAAUCUCAAAGUUAAGCAUGCUUAACUUGGAGAAAUAUGGGAUGGGUGACUAGAUGAGAAGUUCUUACUGGAAGGAAAAUCAGUCACCGGAGUUCGUAUGAUUGGAAUAUUGGUCUGGCGGGUCUUAGUUGAGCUAGACAACAUGAUGGAUGAGCAGUUGAAUAUUCGGGGUGAUCGGAUGAUCGAUGAAUAGUAACGAUGAAUAGUAAUCAUGAAUAGUAACGACGAUGAAUAGUAACGAUAACAACAUCGAUGCAUUGUAACGAUGAUGAAUAGUAAUGAUGAUAGUGACGAUGAUGGAUAGUAGCGAUGAAUAGUAACGAUGGAAUAGUAAUGGUGAAUAGUAACGAUGAACGAUAAAUAGGGACUAUGAACGAACGAUGAACGGUGAAUAGGGACUAUGAACGAUGAAUAGGGACUAUGAACGAUGAAUAGGGACUAUGAACGAACGAUGAACGAUGAAUAGGGACUAUGAACGAAUGAUGAACGAUGAAUAGGGAUGAUGAACGAACGAUGAACGAUGAAUAGGGAUGAUGAACGAACAAACGGACGAUCGAAUGAUCGGACAAACGAACGAUCGGAAUUUUGGCAGCAUAACGGUUGAACAAAGGUUAUUUGGACGAACGGAGGAACGAACCAUGAACGAUCGAACGAUCGGAUGGACGAACGAACAAACUAAGAACAUGUGGACGAACGAUUGAAUGAAUGACCGAACGAUCCUUGUGCUUGUGUUGUGCUUGUGUGGGAGAGUGAGUGGGGGGAGAGUUGCCAUGAAAUGGCUUGGUGUGGCUUGAGGGGAGGCCCUUGCCCGUCUAUUUAUAGGCUAGGUGGGGGGAUUAGGGGGAGGAGGCAAGGAUUAGUGGGAGGAUGCGAGGAUUAGUGGGAGAUAAGCAUGUAUUAGUCAUGUAUAAGUGAAAAUAGCUUGUAGAGAUCAUUGUAUGACACUAGAGGCGUACGUAUACGUAUGAACAUGAGGAAAAUUAUGAAGAAAAUAUUUGUAGGGACUUUAAAAAUGAUUCUGAAGGUAUUUCUCAGGAGGAAAAUAUUUGGAGAAAUAUCGGUGGAAUAUUUGGGCAGUAUUUCUGGAAACAACUUGGGGGGGGAUUAGUGGGGAACUAUUUAUAGGAUAUUGUGAGGAGGAUUUUGGAGAGAAUAUAGACCAUUGUAUUUUAUUUGUUGAUAACAACUCGCAAACAAACAUUUUGAAACAAAAUUCAAAAUUCAUUUUGAAUUUAGAGCGAGUUUGAGAAAAUUUCAAGCUUUGAAUUUUUGAGGUGCUACACAUAGCUAGGGUGAAGAAGAGAGUACUUGCAAGAUGUCAAUGGACUAAUCAGAUUAUGAAGAGUCAUGUUGUGUUGGAGAUCACCACAUUAGAAGAUGUGAUUUGAAGCCAUCAGAUUAACUCAUAUGUAUUGUGAUGGUUCAAGUCAUAAGGCUCAAAGAAUGCUAGCUCAAGUAAAGAAGCAUGGUCACAAAAUCAAGUAGAAGGUAUCAAAGAUAGAACCUAGAAAGGGCUCACAGUUGUGCAGACUUUGAUAGAAAUGACCAAAAUGAGGAAAUCUAGAAGGAAUUUGUUUUGGGACCAUUCUAGUGUUUUGGUAAGUUCUUGAUGACCAUUGCAUCAUUUUGGAACUCAAUAAAGUGAGGAUAUUACUCGGUUUUAGAGUUUGAGGUUCCAAGUGCCUAUUGGAGCAAAAGGUUGAAGAAAAAAAGGCAAAAUGAGUUAAAUGAAGCCAAUAAGAUGACUAAUGGUUGGAUACACUCAAGGAACAUUUGUCUAAGUCAUGAAGGUGUCCAAUAGAAGAGCCUAGUGGAGACAAAGAAAAGGAGCCUAAGUUUAGACUAAGUCUGCUAUACUACGGUGCACUAGACCAGUUUGGUGGAGCACUGAACCUUGUAUGCAGAGAAUGUAUUCUAUGGGUUUCUAGGACUUGGUGCACCAUAUCAGUUAUGUAGAUAAGGUGUUUUCAGGACUUCAGUAGCUGGCGCCUCGAGCCUCGUUAGAGGAGUCCGGUGUGCACUAGAUCUUCAACGGUUGGGAAAUUUUAAGCAAUGGACAAGUGAUGUGGCGCUGUUGUGGCAUAGUCUAGUGGCGCACCGGACCAGUCUGGUGAGAUUUGACAGCUCAGCUUUUAUCAAAAUGGUCACUAACCGGACUUGCGGAGUUAGAGGUCCGAUGUGCACCAGACCUGCUAUAGUGAGAGGUCUGGUGCACCUAGAAAGUGCAAAAUUUGGGCAACAACUAGUUUAGCUUUGGGGCUAUAAAUACACCUCCUCCAUGCCUCCAACAGACACAAGCAAGUGUUCAGAAGUUCAUAUACAUAUCCUAGCUAGUGGAAAACCCUCUCUAGUCCAUCUCUUUGUGAGAUUGAGUGAUAACUUCACGUAUAAUCAAGUAUUAGAGAGUGUGUUUGAGCUAGAGUGCUUGUGUUUAGAGCUAGAUAGUUGUGCAAAGAACUAAGAGAGCAAGAUCUUAGAAUAGCUAAGCAACCUUCAACAAAGUGUGUGGGCUAUGGCCAUUCGCUUUUAGGCAUUCGUCAGAGAGCUUCCAAGGUGUGGAAAGCCUCGGGAUUGUUGUAAAGCAACCAAGAGAUAGUGGAAGUCCCAAUUUAUCUCAAGUGGCGAUAAACUUGAUCAAAUGGAGGAAGGAGUUGAAAUAGACUCCAAGCCGGUUGACUAACUCCAACCUGGAGUAGGGAAGCAUUUGAGGCUUCAGCGAACCAUGUCAUAAAAUUGUGUGUCUUGUCCCUUGCUUUAUUUACUUGAACUUCACAUUACAUAUUUUUUAUUUGAGUUUGACAAGUGUAGCCACUUAGUGGACAAGGACAUUAUUCCGCUACAAUCGAUCAAAUCAAGUAAGUUGAGUUCAUUUGGGUUGAAAAGUUUUAAUUGCCUAUUCACCUCCCCCUCUAGGCGACAUUGAAAGGGAAAUAGGUCUAACCAUUUCCCACAAUUAAUUUUGAUGGUUGAAUGCACAACACAAAUAUAUGGACUAACUAGUUUGCUCUAGAAUACAUGUUCUACAGGUGCACAAAGGUUCAACACAAACCAAUAAAUAUUCAAGUUAGGAUCAAAUUCAAAUGAGCAAAAGAAACCAAGUAUGCUCUGGUCUAGCGCACUGGACUGUCCGGUGCACCAGGCCCGUACAGGGUUGAACCAGCCACUCUCGGGUUUCAGCAGGCGCACUCCGCUAUAAUUCACCGAACUGUCUGGUGUGCCACUGGACUGUCCGGUGCACUAGCGGAGCAAUGACUAACUCGUGCAACGGUCAACUGCAAAAGCACGCUGACAGCGCAACAGUGGAGAACAGUGCACAACAGAGUAAGAGCGUAGAGUCAGAGAUGCACCGGACAGUGUCCGGUGUGGCACCGGACUGUCCGGUGCCACAAGAAGACAACGGCUCCAACGGUCGACUGCUCCCGAACCCUAACGGUUGGGUGACGUGGUGGUGCACCGGACAGUGAACAUGACCUGUCCGGUGGCGCACCAGACUGUCCGAUGCGCCCAUCGCCAGCAGCCUUCCCCAACGGCUUGUUGGUGGUUGAGGGCUAUAAAUACCCCCAACCACCACAACUCCAAGCAUCCAAGUUUUCUGGAGUUCCCAUUCAAUACAAGAGCUAGUGCAUUCACUCCUAGACACAAUUCAAAAGAUCAAAGCCUCUCCAAGUCCCAAGUUCAUUCCAACCACCUAGUGACUUGAGAGAGUGUGAGUUCGUGUUCAUUUGCGCUCUUGUUGCUUGGAUCGCUUUCUUCCUUCCUCAUUCUUGUUCCCAAGUGACUUGUAAUCAAAGCAAGAGACACCUAAGUGUGUGGUGUUCAUUGCGGGGUCAAAGUGACCCAUUUGAUUAAGGAGAAAGCUCACUCGGUCUAAGUGACUGUUUGAGAGAGGGAAAUGAUUGAAAGAGACCCGUUCUUUGUGACCACCUCAACGGAGACUAGGUUCCUUAGAACCGAACCUCGGUAAAACAAAUCACCAUGUUCAUUCGCUUGUUUUCCAUUUUAUUUAUUUCCCCCCUCUCUCCUGGACUUGAUUUAAGUUCUAACGCUAGCCCCGGCUUGUAGUGUGUGUUUAAAGUUGUAAAUUUCAGAUUACACCUAUUCACCCCCUCUAGGCGACUUUCAAUUGGUAUCAAAGCCCGGUGCUUCAUUAGAGUCUAACAACUCAAAGUGAUGUCGAGAAAUCACGCCAAGAGGGAGAUCAAAACCGGCGAUAAGCCCGCAAGCCUUGGGAAGGCUCCAUCAAGGGAGUUCGGCAACAAAGCCAAGGAGGGAUCCCCUCCCUCCAUCAAGUUGCAUCGGAGUGGCGACAAGGAAAAGAAGAUGAAGAAGGUGGUCUACUACGAGACAGACUCAUCGUCGCCCUCCACAUCAAGCUCCGAGGCAUCCGUCGCUUCUAAGCGCCAUGAGCACAAGAAGUAUAGUAAGAUGCCCCUUCGCUAUCCCCGUAUUUCUAAGCGCACUCCUCUACUUUCUGUUCCCUUAGGCAAACCACCAUAUUUUGAUGGUGAGGAUUAUUGUAUGUGGAGUGAUAAAAUGAGGCAUCAUCUAACCUCACUCCACGCAAGCAUUUGGGACAUUGUUGAGUUUGGAGCACAGGUACCUAAGGUAGGGGACGAAGGCUACGACUCGGACGAGGUCGCCUAAAUUAGGCACUUUAACUCCCAAGCCACAACUAUACUCCUCGCCUCCUUGUGUCGAGAGGAGUAUAAUUGUAACACCCUGAAUUUGGGGGUGUAAAAUUUCUUUUCUAAUAUCCACCAAAUUCAGGUGUUACCCUCUUUCUUUCCUUCUCUUCUACUCCUUUCCAAAAUAGUAGGGAGUUAUUUUUGUUUUAUACUUAUGUGUAAGCCUAGUAAAGUAAAACCCUAGUGGUGCUUUGGUGGUUGUGUCACAUGUUGGAGCAUAUAAUUUUGUAUGAUGUUUCGUGUUUUCGUGCCUCCAUUUAUACCCAUGAAGUAUGUUUGAUUUUGAAUCUAAAAGCUAGAUCUAUAUUCAAAUAGAAAGAAGAAAAUAGGAAGAAAUCAAAAAGGAAAAACACAUCCUGAUUCCCUCCUUUGGUCUCAGCUCGGCCCAGAACCUCCCCCUGGUCGGCCUGCCCUGAGGCCCAAUCGGCGUCCCGCGCCAGCGCUCCCCCGUGGCCCAACCGCGGCCUCCCUGGCUGGCCUGCACGCGCUUUCUCCCAGCCCAGCACACCGAGGCCCAGCUCGACGUUGCCCCGCGCCUGGCCCACUCCAGCCCCCGCGCCCUAGCCCAGCGCGGCCCCGCUGCCCUAGCCGCCACGCGCGCCCAGCCCCCAGCCACCUAGUGCCGCCGCCGCCCCUCUGCUUGUGCGCAUGCGCGCAGGCACGGACGCCGCGCCCACAGCCCCGCCUGGCCCAGCCGCGACCUUCCCUGGCGGCUACAGCGCGCGCAGCCCAGCGCCCAAACCCUAGCGCCGCCGCUUGCCUAGCCGCCUGCGCGCGCCUGCCCAGCCCUCGCCGCGCCCCAAUCGGCCAUGCCGCGCGUGCCCUAGCGAGGAACGCCGAGCGCCAUGCUCCCUCGCAUGGGCGAGCCCCACCCCAACCCCAUGGUCGGGCGAGCUUCCCCCCACGCGCGCGAGUCUCAGCCGAGCAGCCGCAACCUCGGUCAUGGUCGGCCCUGCUGCGCCCCAUUCUCCUCUUCCUCGUCUUCGGCGAGUUCAGCCAUGGCCGUCGCGGGCACUUGCGCUGCGUUGCGCACCCGGCAGCCCCCCACGCGCGGAUCCCCCACCGUCGUCGUGACGCUCGUGCUCGUCCUAGCCCUGAUCGCCGGAGGCCACUGUCACGAGGCCCAGCUCAAUGCCGUGGACGCCGUUGCCGUGUGCUGGGGCCCCUAGCAGCGGGCCCGAGCCACCUAGUACGGCCAGCCCAACGACACCGGCCCCGGCGACAACAGAGACGGUGAUCACCACGGCAUGAACUACUACCCCGGGUCCAAAUACCGCUUCGACCUCAGUGCCACGGUGUUCAGGAGGCUGGCCAAGCCCAACCUCAACGACAAGCUCCGCCACUCUGGCAUCAUCGACAUCGAGUUCACCAGGACUCAUCGUCGACAUUGGGGGGUUUCAAAUCUAGUUUGGUUGCGCGGAGGCAUGUUAUGUGGCGACCUCCGGAUCUGUGUUGCCGAUGUGGUGCUCCAUCUCGACAAUAGGAAAGUAUCUUUCCCCUAUUUUUCCUUGUCUUUGUGGUGCUAAUCUUGUAUGUCAUAUGAUUGGUAAAUGAAGGUGUCAAAAGAAAUUAAAUUGUCUAGGUUAUACGCAUAGCGUAAUUUAGGUGGCUUUCCAUGGGUGUAUGCGUAGCGUGAUUAAUGUCAACUCGCAGGUUCUGAAUUAUCACUCGUUUAUAAUAAACACGACAUUUGUUAGUGAUCCUCUCGUGUCGCGCACGUGUUUUGCACGUGGUUUCGUGAUGAUCCGCGUGUCGUCCACGCUCGUCAUUUACGUUGUUCCGCGCGGUCGCACACGUUAUUAAAUCCGUGUCGCCCCACUCGCGUUACUUUAACUUCAUAACAUUAUUAUCAACAUAUUAAUAAUAGUAUUUCAUCACGUCGCAAGUCUAUAUUAUUUAAUCAGCUAUUCAUUCGAUACUUAAUAAAAUGACCUUCUAAUUAAAACUGUUUAUAGUUUUUUAACUCAUGCUUUCAUAAAUAAAUGUUAAUCAACCUGAUUAAUAUCAACCUAAAUAUGGUUAAUUAAUUGUUUAUUUGUUGUUGUUCGUAUACGACAUCUUUUACGUGUCAUCGUGCUGUUCACGCGUGUAGUCACGUUGUUUCGUGUGCCGUCCGCGCACUGUUCCGCGCAGUGUCGCGUGUCGUCACACGUCUUUCGCGCGUUGUCGCGCGCAUUAUUAAAUUGUUUUCGCUUAUGAUCAUUCAUGUUAAUUAAUCACCUAUGUAUCUAUUAACUAUUAGAAUAUCAAAUUAAUCAAAACUAAGCAGUGACAUUAAUUUAUAUUUUGUAAAUGUCCUGGCUAUUACUUGCGUAGCGUAAACGUUAUAACUUCUAGACCGUAGCUUCGACGAUCGCGUUUCUUUCCUCGUGUGACCAUAGAAGCGAGCUUUAUUUUGUAUUGCACGUUCUUAUAUUGUUUUCCUUUGUAUGGUGUGAUGUUCUUAUACUUGUAUAUGUUUGUUUGUUUGUUCCUGCUUGUAUUCGCUAUGCGUCGCGAAUAGUUUGCGACCCUUUUUCCAAGCUUCGAGGAAUCAAGGAUCAAGCUCCGGCGACCAAGAGAUCAAAACUUUACGAGUUCUACGAAGUUGAAUAUCCUGAGCGUCUGUUGGGUGAAGGCAAGUGUCCUUUGACCUAUCUCUGUCCUAUUCAUUCUUUAAUUCACCUCCCGCGUUACACAUUUAUGCCUAAGGAUUGACUAGCUUUUGUUAUCCAUGUCCUUGUUUACCUAUUUGGGUUGGAUUAUUAUUAUUUAGCUCUAUGCUAUUGCUCAAACUCUAAUCAAUGAACAUGAUGAGAUUAUAUAUGAUACGUUGUUUUCCCCUCUCUUAUUAUGAUGUUGUACUUGUGGUCUUCAAGGGGGCUCGAGCGAUUUCUCGAGUGCCUCUCCGUAAGGACCUGUUCUAUGGAUGACCACCCGGGAAAACAGUGCAACCAUGAGGGUGGAAUGGGAUACCCUUAGCUGAAUAAUUAGAGGAUCCAGGGUGUAGUUCACUUAGCCGUCGUGCCGUCAAUGGGGCUCGGUGUAUGCGGCUCGCUCUGCCAAGUUUGGGUUCGCCCCUUGGGGAGGAGUGCGGUGCAUUUAGGAAACCUAACGGGUGGCUACAGUCCCGGGGAAUCUUUGUAAAGGCUACAUAGUGAUGCCCUGCUAGGCCACCUAGGUAGUGGUCAAUGGGGAGUAGCUCUCUUCGGGCAGAAUGGGAAUCACGGCUUGUGGGUAAAGUGCACAACCUCUGCAGAGUGUUUGAAAACUGAUAUAUCAGCCGUGCUCGCGGUUAUGAGCGGCCAAGGGAGCUCCAGUGAUUAGUGGUACUUGAUCAGAGACAUUACAGUAUAGGUGGUUAUGAGAUCGAUGGUUCUGGUUAUGGCUAUGGUGCUGGUAAGUGGUAUUCUUUCCAUUUGGAAAGGGUACAUCGGGCUAAUAACUCGGGUUAAUGCUAAAACCUGGCUUUCUAUUAGUAAAUAAUAAUCUGACCAACUAAAAGCAACUGCUUGACUUAUCCCCACAUAAAGCUAGUCCACUACAGCCAAACAGGAUACUUGCUGAGUAUGUUGAUGUGUACUCACCCUUGCUCUACACACCAAACCCCCCCAUCCCCAGGUUGUCAGCAUUGCAACCACUGCUCAGGCGAAGAUGAAGCUGUGGAAGGAGACUUCCAGGAGUUCCAAGACUACGACGAGUUCUAGGCGUGGGUUAGCGGCAACCCCCAGUCAGCUGCCUGUGAAGGCCGCGGUUGUCUACGUUUCGUUUUCGCACUUUGAUUUAUUGUAAGGACUAUAUGGACGUCUCAGACGUAUGAUGUAAUCGACUAUUAUUUCCCUUUUAAUACCAUUUUGAGCACUGUGUGAUGAUGUCCAUGUUAUGUAACUUCUGUGUACGUGAAUAACUGAUCCUGGCGCGUACAUGGUUUGCAUUCGGUUUGCCUUCCAAAACCGGGUGUGACAUAAGUGGUAUCAAAGCCGUGCUGACUGUAGGACCGCUAACCUAGAGUAGAAUGGUCGUUCUAAGGAUUAUAGACCUCUAUCCCUGCCUUGACUUUGGUAUCCCUUCAAAAGUUGGUCAUAUCAACCAAACCUAUGUUCUAUUAUAUAUUAUACCUUGCUGAAAAUUGUGUUUUAUUCUAAUCCUUCAUUUAUUUAUGGUUCAUUACUUGCUGGUCUUACUAGUUCUGUUCUCACUCUUUUGCUUGAGACACCUUUGUAGAUGCCCCCUGACCUUAACCUUCUGAUCUUUUGGAAUUCUUUCCUCUUUCGUCAUCAAGUUGCUACCAUUUGACAAUCUCUAUUCCUUUAGUAUUGGCAUGCUCGUAUCCCUGAAUUCUUUAAUACUCUUAUUUUAAAUACUCGUCUCUAAAUUUCUACUGCCUACUUAAACAUUUUAGAUUAUAUGUCUUGAGCUUCUUGUCUUCUGAGGCCCCUCCCUAUUCCAUUAUGAAGCUGUUAUCCUUUGCCCUUUUCUAUUCUCUUGGUCUUGGUACACUCAUACUAUUGGGAUCUUGCAUACUCUUAUUUUUAUAUGCUUACCUUCAUACCCCGAUGACUGUUCAAGACAUUUCAGUUAACAUGCCCUUGACCACCCUUGCUUGUUAAUGAUCCAUGAUCGGUCAUUUUAUUUUGCACAUCCUUGAUGAUCUCGUUAAUUCUUUGUAACUUCCUUCGGUAAUUUUUUACUUUAACCCUUCUGUUGGAACCUUACCUAUCUUACCCUUGAUUGUUUUCUCCACUUUGUCACUUCGUGAGUCUUGCCUUAACUCUAUCCUUGGUUAUGCUUUUCACUAUUUUCAUCCUUACCAUUGUCACAUCUAUAUCUUACCCUGAUGCUUAUAGUAUACCUGUGCUCUAAAACCUUCUCUCUUCUAUCUCAAUUUUAAAGUUGUAUUUUACCUUUUUUCCCCUUGGUUGUAUCCUCUUCCUCAUCGCUCUUGAGUUUUCAACACCACCCUUUGUUGUGCUCAUGUUUAGUUUUGCCUUUACCUUUCCCAUCUCUCGACCAUACCUUGGUGAUUACAUUAUGUCUGUGAUCUAUAAUCUCCAAUAUCCUAUCCCAAUUUGAGAGCGGUGUUUUACUUAUCUUACCCUUGGCGAUAUCCUCUUCUUUACCACAUGCAAGCCUUGAUGUAACUCCAUUCUUUAUUGUACUUAUACCACUGGCCCUUCUAUGCCUUCAUCUUUUCUCUUAUACCCUUGUCUGUUAUCACCUUUGACCCUUGUGAUAUUGUGGUCUUCCACCUAGAUGCUCAUCUUGAACUUAUCCUUUAAAAGCCUCCCCUCUCUUUCAACCUAGUUUGAGAGCUAUGAGUUUCCUGUCCCUCCUUUGAAUUCUUUUUGCUUGUUGUCGCCUUACAGGUUUUGUUCAAACUUCAUCCUUUGAUGUGUUUUUAUUGGCUAUCACCCUCACCUUGUCGUCCAUUGAUCUUGCUUUGAUACUCAUCUUUAUUCCAACUCUUUAAAAAUCCCCUCUUUUCCACCUCAAUUUUGGAGUGGCAAUUUACCUAUCUAGCCCUUGGAUGCACCCUCUCUUUUUCCAUUUGAAGGUCCGGUCUUAACUCCAUUAUUUAUGGUACUUAUAUCCUUCGUCUUAUGCCUAUUUAUCUCCUCUCAUACGUCCUUGUCUGUUAUUACCUAAAAAACCCUCGUGAUAUCUAUGCUCUUGCCUUCCUGCUUACCUUGAACCUACCCUUUGAAGCCUCCUCCUUUCCAUCCCCGUUCGGGGAUAAUGCCUCCUCGAUUUCAUCAUCGACUGCUCCCCCUUCUUUGACACCUUGCAAGUCUUGUCUAAAAUACAUCUUUUAUUGUGUGUUUGUCCCUCAUCACCUUAACCCUUGUCAUCCCUCGAUCUUUACCUUGAUGCUUAUCUUGUACCUGCAUUUUAAAGCCGCCUCUCCCAUUUCAUUCGAAGAGUGAUGUCUUACCCAUCUCGCUCUUGUCUGUUCCCUUUUCCUCUAUCACGUUGCAAGUCUUAACUUUUACUCAAUAUCACCCUUACCUUCCUAAUGUCUAGAUCUUUCCAUGAUGCUUAUCCUAUGCCUACCUUUUGAAAUAUCAUCUUUCCCAUCUCGAUUUGAGAAUGGUGUUUACCUACCUUGCCCUUGGUUGCAUUUUCUUCCUUGUAUAUUACAAUCCUUGCUUAAGCUCCAUCCUUAAUUGUGCUCGUGUCCCUAUCCUACACGUCUUGUUCUUCUCCUCAUCCUUCGACAACCUUAGAGAUUAGUUAUUCCCUUUUAGGGAAGACCACCAUCUAGUUAGCAUUAACGUGUAGCAAUGAUAUGUUUGUUGUGGUAUUCUUGUGAUGUUUGUCUUUGUGUUAUGACCGAUUUGCUUCUUUGUGAUGAGUGUUGGUGUGUUGUGGCCCAUGGGUCCGCAAUGGCAUUCGUUUACUAGCUGAGUGGCGCAGAGUUAAGUAGCUGAGUGCUCUUCCUUCUCCCUCUUUAAGCCAUCUAUGCCUACCUUUUCUAUCUUACCUUUUCUAUCUAUACUCUUCCCUUUUGCACCUGUCCGGUUGGCAUCCUGCAACCUAUCUUAAUCAGUCAAGAACAGAGUUCGAAGUAUCUUCAUCAAGUGCGUAUCAAUGCUCCUGUUAAGGGGGUUAGCUGCUAACCCCAAUGAAGACAAUGCGAUCAACAUCAACCAACAAGAUUAAAGUGGCGCAGCGGAAGCGUGUGUACUAACCCGUAGGUCCAGGAGAUCCUCAAGAAUUGCAUCAAUUGGUCUCAAGCAUCUGAAGGUCAAAGCAACUAGUCCAAAAUUUAAGCUUGUAGAGUCAAAGUCAACUCAAGAGAGCCGCGAACAACCUCUGAACCAACCUUGCUUCCUUGCUAGCUUCUUCUUGAAUCUCGGGGGCAAGAUUCUGUUAAGGGGGUUAGAUUUGUAACACCCUGAAUUUGGGGGUGUAAAAUUUCUUUUCUAAUAUCCACCAAAUUCAGGUGUUACCCUCUUUCUUUCCUUCUCUUCUACUCUUUUCCAAAAUAGUAGGGAGUUAUUUUUGUUUUAUACUUAUGUGUAAGCCUAGUAAAGUAAAACCCUAGUGGUGCUUUGGUGGUUGUGUCACAUGUUGGAGCAUAUAAUUUUGUAUGAUGUUUCGUGUUUUCGUGCCUCCAUUUAUACCCAUGAAGUAUGUUUGAUUUUGAAUCUAAAAGCUAGAUCUAUAUUCAAAUAGAAAGAAGAAAAUAGGAAGAAAUCAAAAAGGAAAAACACAUCCCGAUUCCCUCCUUUGGUCUCAGCUCGGCCCAGAACCUCCCCCUGGCCGGCCUGCCCUGAGGCCCAAUCGGCGCCCCGCGCCAGUGCUCCCCCGUGGCCCAACCGCGGCCUCCCUGGCCGGCCUGCGCGCGCGCUUUCUCCCAGCCCAGCACGCCGAGGCCCAACUCGAUGUUGCCCCGCGCCUGGCCCACUCCAGCCCCCGUGCCCUAGCCCAGCGCGCCCCCGCUGCCCUAGCCGCCACGCGCGCCCAGCCCCUAGCCACCUAGCGCCGCCGCCACCCCUCUGCUUGUGCGCAUGCGCGCAGGCACGGAUGCCGCGCCCAUAGCCCCGCCUGGCCCAGCCGCGACCUUCCCUGGCGGCUACAGCGCGCGCAGCCCAGCGCCCAAACCCUAGCGCCGCCGCUUGCCUAGCCGCCUGUGCGCGCCUGCCCAGCCCUCGCCGUGCCCCAAUCGGCCAUGUCGCGCGUGCCCUAGCGAGGAACGCCGAGCGCCAUGCUCCCUCGCAUGGGCGAGCCCCACCCCAACCCCAUGGUCGGGCGAGCUUCCCCCCACACGCGCGAGUCUCAGCCGAGUAGCCGCAACCUCGGUCGUGGUCGGCCCUGCUGCGCCCCAUUCUCCUCUUCCUCGUCUUCGGCAAGUUCAGCCAUGGCCGUCGCGGGCACUUGCGCUGCGUUGCGCGCCCGGCAGCCCCCCACGCGCGGAUCCCCCACCGUCGUCGUGACGCUCGUGCUCGUCCUAGCCCUGAUCGCCGGAGGCCACUGUCACGAGGCCCAGCUCAACGCCGUGGACGCCGUUGCCGUGUGCUGGGGCCCCUAGCAGCGGGCCCGAGCCACCUAGUACGGCCAGCCCAACGACACUGGCCCCGAUGACAACAGAGACGGUGAUCACCACGGCAUGAACUACUACCCCGGGUCCAAAUACCGCUUCGACCUCAGUGCCACGGUGUUCAGGAGGCUGGCCAAGCCCAACCUCAACGACAAGCUCCGCCACUCUGGCAUCAUCGACAUCGAGUUCACCAGGACUCAUCGUCGACAUUGGGGGGUUUCAAAUCUAGUUUGGUUGCGCGGAGGCAUGUUAUGUGGCGACCUCCGGAUCUGUGUUGCCGAUGUGGUGCUCCAUCUCGACAAUAGGAAAGUAUCUUUCCCCUAUUUUUCCUUGUCUUUGUGGUGCUAAUCUUGUAUGUCAUAUGAUUGGUAAAUGAAGGUGUCAAAAGAAAUUAAAUUGUCUAGGUUAUACGCAUAGCGUAAUUUAGGUGGCUUUCCAUGGGUGUAUGCGUAGCGUGAUUAAUGUCAACUCGCAGGUUCUGAAUUAUCACUCGUUUAUAAUAAACACGAUAUUUGUUAGUGAUCCUCUCGUGUCGCGUACGUGUUUUGCAUGUGGUUUCGUGAUGAUCCGCGUGUCGUCCACGCUCGUCAUUUACGUUGUUCCGCGCGGUCGCACACGUUAUUAAAUCCGUGUCGCCCCACUCGCGUUACUUUAACUUCAUAACAUUAUUGUCAACAUAUUAAUAAUAGUAUUUCAUCACGUCGCAAGUCUAUAUUAUUUAAUCAGCUAUUCAUUCGAUACUUAAUAAAAUGACCUUCUAAUUAAAACUGUUUAUAGUUUUUUAAUUCAUGCUUUCAUAAAUAAAUGUUAAUCAACCUGAUUAAUAUCAGCCUAAAUAUGGUUAAUUAAUUGUUUAUUUGUUGUUGUUCGUAUACGACAUCUUUUACGUGUCAUCGUGCUGUUCACGCGUGUAGUCGCGUUGUUUCGCGUGCCGUCCGCGCAGUGUCGCGUGUCGUCACACGUCUUUCGCGCGUUGUCGCGCGCAUUAUUAAAUUGUUUUUGCUUAUGAUCAUUCAUGUUAAUUAAUCACCUAUGUAGCUGUUAACUAUUAGAAUAUCAAAUUAAUCAAACUAAGUAGUGACAUUAAUUUAUAUUUUGUAAAUGUCCUGGCUAUUACUUGCGUAGCGUAAACGUUAUAACUUCUAGACCGUAGCUUCGACGAUCGCGUUUCUUUCCUCGCGUGACCAUAGAAGCGAGCUUUAUUUUGUAUUGCACGUUCUUAUAUUGUUUUCCUUUGUAUGGUGUGAUGUUCUUAUACUUGUAUAUGUUUGUUUGUUUGUUCCUGCUUGUAUUCGCUAUGCGUCGCGAAUAGUCUGCGACCCUUUUUCCGAGCUUCGAGGAAUCAAGGAUCAAGCUCCGGCGACCAAGAGAUCAAAACUUUACGAGUUCUACUAAGUUGAAUAUCCUGAGCGUCUGUUGGGUGAAGGCAAGUGUCCUUUGACCUAUCUCUGUCCUAUUCAUUCUUUAAUUCACCUCCCGCGUUACACAUUUAUGCCUAAGGAUUGACUAGCUUUUGUUAUCCAUGUCCUUGUUUACCUAUUUGGGUUGGAUUAUUAUUAUUUAGCUCUAUGCUAUUGCUCAAACUCUAAUCAAUGAACAUGAUGAGAUUAUCUAUGAUACGUUGUUUUCCCCUCUCUUAUUAUGAUGUUGUACUUGUGGUCUUCAAGGGGGCUCGAGCGAUUUCUCGAGUGCCUCUCCGUAAGGACCUGUUCUAUGGAUGACCGCCCGGGAAAACAGUGCAACCAUGAGGGUGGAAUGGGAUACCCUUAGCUGAAUAAUUAGAGGAUCCGGGGUGUAGUUCACUUAGCCGUCGUGCCGUCAAUGGGGCUCGGUGUAUGCGGCUCGCUCUGCCAAGUUUGGGUUCGCCCCUUGGGGAGGAGUGCGGUGCAUUUAGGAAACCUAACGGGUGGCUACAGUCCCAGGGAAUCUUUGUAAAGGCUACGUAGUGAUGCCCUGCUAGGCCACCUAGGUAGUGGUCAAUGGGGAGUAGCUCUCUUCGGGCAGAAUGGGAAUCACGGCUUGUGGGUAAAGUGCACAACCUCUGCAGAGUGUUUGAAAACUGAUAUAUCAGCCGUGCUCGCGGUUAUGAGCGGCCAAGGGAGCUCCAGUGAUUAGUGGUACUUGAUCAGAGACAUUACGGUAUAGGUGGUUAUGAGAUCGAUGGUUCUGGUUAUGGCUAUGGUGCUGGUAAGUGGUAUUCUUUCCAUUUGGAAAGGGUACAUCGGGCUAAUAACUCGGGUUAAUGCUAAAACCUGGCUUUCUAUUAGUAAAUAAUAAUCUGACCAACUAAAAGCAACUGCUUGACUUAUCCCCACAUAAAGCUAGUCCACUACAGCCAAACAGGAUACUUGCUGAGUAUGUUGAUGUGUACUCACCCUUGCUCUACACACCAAACCCCCCCAUCCCCAGGUUGUCAGCAUUGCAACCACUGCUCAGGCGAAGAUGAAGCUGUGGAAGGAGACUUCCAGGAGUUCCAAGACUACGAUGAGUUCUAGGCGUGGGUUAGCGGCAACCCCCAGUCGGCUGCCUGUGAAGGCCGCGGUUGUCUACGUUUCGUUUUCGCAGUUUGAUUUAUUGUAAGGACUAUAUGGACGUCUCAGACGUAUGAUGUAAUCGACUAUUAUUUCCCUUUUAAUACCAUUUUGAGCACUGUGUGAUGAUGUCCAUGUUAUGUAACUGCUGUGUACGUGAAUAACUGAUCCUGGCACGUACAUGGUUCGCAUUCGGUUUGCCUUCCAAAACCGGGUGUGACAAUAAUAAGGUGCAAGGGUUAAAGAGCGCCAAAGAAAUUUGGGACUUCCUCAAAAUGGCGCACGAAGGGGACGAGGUGACCAAGAUCACCAAGCGCGAAACGAUCGAGGGAGAACUCGGUCAAUUCAUCCUCAACAAAGGAGAGGAGCCACAAGCAAUGUACAACCGGCUCAAGACCUUGGUGAACCAAGUGCGCAACCUCGGGAGCACCAAGUGGGAUGACCAUGAAAUGGUCAAGGUUAUUCUUAGAUCACUUGUUUUUCGUAAUCCCACUCAAGUGCAACUAAUCCGUGGAGACCCUAGAUAUAAACAGAUGUCUCCCGAGUAAGUUAUUGACAAGUUUGUGAGCUUUGAACUUAUGAUCAAAGACUCCAAACAUAUUGUCAACUUGGAGUAAGGUGCCACCUCUACACCCGAGGUGCAACCCGUCGCAUUCAAGGCGAUGGAAGAAGAGAAGAGGGAGUCUACAUCAAGUAGGUUUCCAAUCGACGCCUCCAAGCUCGACAAUGAGGAGAUGACGCUCAUCAUCAAGAGCUUCCGCCAAAUCCUCAAGAAAAGGAGGGGGAAGGACUACAAACCCCACUCAAAAGGAUGUGCUACAAAUGUGGUAAGCUCGGUCAUUCUAUCGCUAAAUGCCCAAUGUCUAGUGAUAGUGACAGGGGCGAAGACAAGAAGGGGAAGAAGAAGGAGAAGAAGAGGUAGUACAAGAAGAAGGGUGGUGAUGCCCACGUGUUCCGGGAAUGAGACUUCGACGAGAGCUCCACCGACUCCUCCUCCGACGAGGACGCCUCCAACAUCGCCGUCAACAAGGGCCUCCUCUUCCUCAACGUCGGCCACAAGUGUUUCAUGGCGACGGACGACAAGAAAAAGAAGGUACAAUCUAGAGCCACCCCCAAAUAUACAACAUCUAGUGAUGAGGGUAGCUCUAGUGAAGAUGAAGAUGAUUUGCUUACUCUUUUUGCCAACCUUAGCAUGGAACAAAACGAAAAGUUAAAUGAAUUAAUAGGAGCCAUUCAUGAGAAGGAUGAACUUUUGGAUAGCCAAGAGGAAUUCCUUAUUAAAGAAAACAAAAAACAUGUUAAGUUGAAAAUGCCUUUGUUCAGGAAGUAGAAAAAUGUGAAAAUUAUCUAAGGAGCUUAGCAUUUGCCAUGAGUCAAUUUCUAGCCUUAGAAAUGAAAAUGCUAGAUUAAAUUCUAAGGUCAAAGAUUUAAAUGUUUGCAAUGAUUGCAUUUCCUGUCUUAGAAAUGAAAAUGUCAUGUUAAAAUCUAAGAUAGAUGAAUUUAAUGUUUGCAAACCCUCUACAUCUACUGUCGAGCAUGUUUCCAUUUGCACUAGAUGUAGAGAUAUUAAUGUUGAAGCUAUUGAUGAUCACCUUGCCAUAAUUAAACAACAAAAUGAUCAUAUAGCUAAACUAACUGCUAAAAUUAAUGAGCAUGAACUUGAAAAUGAAAAUUUUAAAUUUGCUAGAAGCAUGCUCUAUAAUGGGAGACGCCCAGACAUUAAGGAUGAUAUUGGUUUCCAACAGGGAAGCAAUGUCAAGCUUAAUGCCCCUAAAAGAUUGUCUAAUUUUGUUAAGGGUAAGGCUCCCAUGGUUCAGGAUAAUGAGGGCUAUAUUUUAUAUCCUGCUAAUUAUCCUGAGCACAAAAUUAGGAGAAUUCAUGCUAGAAAACCUCACAUUGUUUCUCAUCAUGCUUUCAUGUAUAAAAAUGAGGCUUCUAGCUCUAGGCAUUCUAGACAUGUUAAAAUGCCUAAAAAGAAAACUCAUGCUGCAUCAAAUGAUCAUAACAUUUCAUUCAAAACUUUUGAUGCUUCUUAUGUGCUUACUAACAAAUCAGGCAAAGUAGUUGCCAAAUAUGUUGGGGGCAAACACAAGGGUUCAAAGACUUGUGUUUGGGUACCCAAGGUGCUUGUUUCUAACGUCAAAGGACCCAAGACUGUUUGGGUACCUAAGAACAAGGCCUAAAAUUGUUUUAUAGGUUUAUGCAUCCGGUGGGUGCACAAACCACAUGACAGGGGAGAAAAGAAUGUUCUCCUCCUAUGAGAGAAAUGAAGAUCCCCAACGAGCUAUCACAUUCGGGGAUGGAAAUCAAGGUUUGGUCAAAGGACUUGGUAAAAUUGCUAUAUCGCCUGACCAUUCUAUUUCCAAUGUUUUUCUUGUAGACUCUUUAGAUUACAAUUUGCUUUCUGUCUCUCAAUUAUGUAAAAUGGGCUACAACUGUCUAUUUACAGAUGUAGGUGUUACUGUCUUUAGAAGAAGUGAUGAUUCAAUAGCAUUUAAGGGAGUGCUAGAGGGUCAGCUAUAUUUAGUCGAUUUUAAUGAAAACACAACUGAACUCAAUACUUGUUUAAUUGCUAAGACUAAUAUGGGUUGGCUCUGGCAUCGCCGACUAGCCCAUGUUGGAAUGAAGAAUCUUCACAAACUUCUAAAGAGAGAACACAUUUUAGGACUAACAAAUGUUUAUUUUGAGAAAGACAGGGUUUGUAGCGCAUGUCAAGCAGGAAAGCAAGUUGGCGCCUGAAAGGGAAAUAGGAUUAACCUUUUCCCACAAUUAAUUUCGAUGGUUGAAUGUCCAACACAAAUAAAUGGACUAACUAGUUUGCUCUAGAAUACAUGUUCUACACGUGCAAAAAGGUUCAACACAAACCAAUAAAUAUUCAAGUUAGGGAUACAUUUCAAAGGAGCAAAAGAAACCAAGUGUGUUGUGGCCUGGCGCUCCGGACUGUCCGGCGUGCUACCGGACAUUGUCCGGUGCACUAGGUCCGUACAAAAACCAACUAGCCACUCUCGGGUUUCUCUAGGCGCGCUCCACUAUAAUUCACCGGACUGUCCGGUGCACCAGCUGUAAAGCCCAAAAUUGGUGGCAAUAUAUAUAUAUAAUAAUAAAAUAAAUAGUGUUUAGGGAUUCUUGAAACUUGUGGAUGUUAUUUGAUCUCCUCUGCUUUUGAAUGUUUAAUUAAAUGGAAUUAAGUUAACCAAAUAUCAAAUAAAUAAAUACAAAAAAAUAUGCGCUUCAUGAUGCUCUCGCGUUUUUGGUAUUUGCAUUUAAAUUGUGAGACAAGUUCAAAUUAAGAAAUUAGAAUUUGAAAAUAGAAACAGAAAAUAAAAGAGAAUGGGAAAUAAAAUUUUCCUCCCAUAAAUAAAUAAUAAGGAAAAGAAUAAAAAAUACAUAAUAUUGUAAAUAGUAAAGUUUAUAUUAGGAUUAAUUUUGACACUUGGAAACUUGAAGUUCAAAGACAUGAGUUUGAAUUUGAAUUGGAUGGCUAAAGUUUGAAAUAGAAAAGAUAAAAGUAUAGAAGAAAAGAAAAUGCCAGAACUGGCUUUGGGCCAAAACCACUUCCUGUGGCCCAACAACCCUGUUUCCAGCCCAUGUGGACUAAUGCACUUGCACUCACCGCCAUGUGGGUCCGGCUCAGCAUGCCACCUCCGCGAAACUCACUCCGUGUCCAUGCGCUUGUUGCCUGACAAGCAGGGCCCAACAACCCUGUUUCCAGCCCAUGUGGACUAAUGCACUUGCACUCACCACCAUGUGGGUCCGGCUCAGCAUGCCACCUCCGCGAAACUCACUCCGUGUCCAUGCGCUUGUUGCCUGACAAGCAGGGCCUAGGCGACAGCCUCUCUACCCAUUCCCAACACCCUGGCCGACCAGCUCCCGUCCUCCUUUCUCUCACAGCCAUGUGGGCCCAAGUGGUCGGUCUUCUUCCUCGUCGGAUUGUGUUCGCAAACGGCUGAGCGGAAAUUGAGGGACUGCCCAACCAAACGGAAUCCGCUGAUCGAAGCAAAUUUAUUAGAAUCUGUGAACCGGGCGAAUCCUAAACAAACAAGCGAAAUUCCAGCCGUGCAGGUCGCCUCAACCCCAAUAUAAAUCCGGUCACCGUUCCGCUAUUCUUCUCGUCCGCCUGGCUUUCUCCUCGAUCAACCGUCUCUCUCCUCUAGCGAUAUGGUGAACUCACCGGCCGGCUCACUGCUCGUCGCGGGCGCCCAUGCGAUGCUAUGCGCAUCGUCUGCUGAAGACGGCGCGACGUUCGCCACGGCUGCGCAGCGGAAGCAUGGUCGGACCCACCGUGAAGCCGCCGCGGCCAUCCAUGGUUGGCUGUCUGCGCAUGGGGGCUCUCGCAAGCUACAGGUGGUGCCGAGGGCACGGCCGGCAACGACGUCGACUGGCACCCGAUGUGGAAGACGUACCUGUGCUGUUGCUUUUGUUGGCGUCGUGGACUGCAGCCAGGAGGUACGGAGGUUGCCCUGCUCGUGCGACGGCUACAUAGGCGGUUGUACCUGCACAGCGAAUGCAUGGGGUUAUGCUCCGUCUCGGUGUAGCAGGCGGCUAUGGCCCUGCGCGGUCAUAGCGUACGAUGGCUGGAGGUAGGUGAUAGCACGUCCUCCAUUGAUAUUUAGAUCAACGGCUAGGCUUAGGCAAUGCUUUCUGGCCGCUGGAUCAGUAUCAGACGGCCAGGAUCGCUCUUGGCAUCCAGGUCGGGCAGGCGGAUCUGGUGCAUUGAUCCGUGGAUGAACGACGCUGGGGAGGAGAUGGUGCCAUCACCGUUGAUCCUUGAAUCAAGGGCUGGGAUUAGAUCCCGAGGAACGUUUCGGAAUGGAUGGCGGGGACCGUUGGAUCCUAGAUGGAGAGCAGGGAUUUAAUCGCAGCCAUAUUAAAUCUGGUGCAUCGAUCUUAGAUCCGAGGGCUUGCGUUCCGUACCGAUUCAUUUAAAGACAGAUUUAAUCUGCACCGUGCGCCUCUGAUCGUGCGGCUGUAAUCGCUCCAUACCCCUUCGGCUGUGCAAAUAUUCAAAAGAACCCUUGAUCUCUAUUGAUAUAAACCCGCGGCCCACUACUGUGUAUAAGUAAUUCCACAUAGGCCCUGGAUUUUGUAGAUUUGACCCUAGGAAACUCCAGAAUUGUGGCAGCAGCCCAUAUAGUAAAUAAAAUAAGAUAAAAUAAUAUAGAAAAUGAUUUUAGUAUGAAAAUAAUUCCAUAAACUUGUAUAAUUCAUAGUUAAUUCAUUUUAGCUCCAAAUUGAGUCAUUCUAGUUGCAAUAAUUUUGUAUUAACAUUUUCUAACAACUAUUAACACUGUUUAGUCAUGAAACUUGAAUUAAAAUUGUUCAUUUGAAUUAAUCUAUUCUAGGUGGUUAAUAACGUCAGAAAUUCAUAAAUCCUUAACCGUAACUCCAAAUUUAGUGAUUCUCGUUCCCACGAUCUUGUAGCGAUGCGUAGAAUAUUCUUAUAUAGUUUGUUCUUAUGUUUGGUGUGAUGUUAAUUUUGCCUAUACCAUGCUUGUUUGUAUUGCUACGACUAGCACGAGGUUACGAGCUACCUAAAGAUCAUCCUGGUACCUGGAAUCUCAAGUCCCAUGCAAGUUGUGCCCUUGAUCACUUCUUUUUACCCAGUCAUGUUCUGAUUAAUCAUAAUGAUCUGCAUAGGUUAAUUUUGAUGGGACCCAAUAGGAUACCCUAGUUUGUCUAUCUUUAUACCUUGUUUACCACUAAACUUUCUGGGUAGUACUUGCUAGUGCUAUAUGUGGUUUUGGGUAUGGAGAUACAUUAUUCAUGAUUACACUUUUGUUAUCAGUUGUUAUUUACUGUUCAUGAUAAGAUCAUUAUGUUAAUUGGAACAUGGAGAACCACCCAGGAAAACAGUGCUACCACAAGGGUUUAUGGACGCCCUUGGCUGACUAAUUAGGAAAGCUAGUGGAAGACUACCUUACCCGAAAGGGGCAAGGGCAGUAGGGGAGUGGUCAGUGUAGGGAGGCCCUUGGGAUGAUUUUGCUGCGAUGGCGGUCAUGCGAGGGAUUCCUACAUUGGAGCUUCCUAUAAACUGUAGCGGGUUUUCUGAAGCUAGUGGAACUUUGUAAAGGCCUCGUAGUGUUACCCUGCCUCGCCUCCUCGGUAGAGGUGUAUGGGAUUGGCCGUCUCUUGGCAGAUGGGUAACAUGACUUGUGGGUAAAGAUGUGCAACCUCUGCAUAGUGUAAAACUGGUAUACUAGCCGUGCUCACGGUCAUGAGCAGCUCGGACACUCACAUGAUUAAAUUAUGGAACUUAAACUCAAUUUGUCAUAUGCAUUGCAUCGCAGGUGAGGUUGUUACUUUUGUUCUACUACUUAAUUGGGUUGGUAUUUACUUAUACUUAGUAAUUGCUAAUAAAAUUUUGACCAACUUUAAAAGCAAUGCUCAGCUUCAGCCAUCUUCUUUGGUAAGCCUUACACUUCACGUGAGCUCCCACCUUUGGCGAGUUCAUGCACAUUAUUCCCCACAACUUGUUGAGCGAUGAACGUAUGUGAGCUCACUCUUGCUGUCUCACACCCCCCCACAGGUCAAGAACAGGUACCACAGGAUGAGGUGCAUGGAGGAUGUUGUGAUGAGUUCGUGAGUGGUCUAGACCGUCGUCUCCCAGUCAACUUUGGGUUGCUGGACCGUUGUCUCCUUAUAAUGUAAUUAAUUAUUUUGUAUAGAACUCCUAUUAUAUAGUAAAGAUGUGACAUUCGAUCCUGUGCCAUGAUUCAUCAUAUGUGUGAGACUUGGUCCCAGCACACCUGGUGAUUAUGUUCGCGCCCGGGUCUUGGUGGCCCGAAACCCGGGUGUGACACCAGCGGAGCAACAACUAUUUCGCGCAACGGUCGACUGCAAAAGCUGAAGAACAGAGGAAUUGUGCACAGCAGUGCACGGUAGAGUCAGAGCGUAGAGUCAGAGGCGCACCGGACAGUGAAUAGUGUCUGUCCGGUGUGGCACCGGACUGUCCGGUGUCGUAUGAGGACAAAGCCUACAACGGUCGACAGCUCCCGAACCCUAACGGUUGGGUGACGUGGAUGGCGCACCGGACAGUGUCCGGUGGCACACCGAACUGUCCGGUGCGCCCAUCGACAGCAGCCACCUCCAACGGCUUGUUGGUGGUUGAGGGCUAUAAAUACCCCCCAACCACCACAACUCCAAGUAUCCAAGUUUUCCGAGUUUCUCAUUCAAUACAAGAGAUAGUGCAUUCACCCCUAGACACAAAUCAAAAGAUCAAAAGCCUCUCCAAGUGCCAAAACUCAUUCCAACCACCUAGUGACUUGAGAGAGUGUUUGUUCGUGUUCUUUGCGCUCUUGUUGCUUGGAUCGCUUUCUUCCUUCCUCAUUCUUGUUCCCAAGUGACUUGUAAUCAAAGCAAGAGACACCAAGUGUGUGGUGGUCCUUGUGGGUUCUAAGUGACUCGUUUGAUUAAGGAGAAAGCUCACUCGGUCUAGGUGACCGUUUGAGAGAGGGAAAGGGUUGAAAGAGACCCGGUCUUUGUGACCACCUCAACGGGGACUAGGUUCUUUAGAACCGAACCUCGGUAAAACAAAUCACCGUGUUCAUCCGCUCUAUUUCUUGGUUGAUUUAUUUUCCCUCUCUUUCAGACUCGGAUUCAUUUCUAACGCUAAUUUCGGCUUGUAGUGUGUGCUUAAGUUUAUAAUUUUCAGAUUCCGCCUAUUCACCCCCUCUAGAUGACUUUCAAUUGGUAUCAGAGCCUGGUGCUUCAUUAGAGUCUAACAACUCGAAGUGAUGUCGGGAAGAUCCUCCAAGAGGGAGAUGGAAACCGGCGAGAAGGCCGCAAGCCAUAGGAAGGCUCCAUCAAGGGUGUCCAGCACCAAAGCCAAGGAGGGAUCCCCUCCCCGCGUCAAGUCGCAUCGGAGUGGCGACAAGAAGAUGAAGAAAGUGGUCUACUAUGAGACCGACUCUUCGUCGCCCUCCACAUCCGGCUCCGACGCGGCAUCCGUCACUUUUAAGCGUCAUGAGCGCAAGAAGUAUAGUAAGAUGCCACUUCGUUAUCCCCGUAUUUCUAAGCGCGCUCCUCUACUCUCCGUUCCAUUAGGCAAACCACCAUAUUUUUAUGGUGAGGAUUAUUGUAUGUGGAGUGAUAAAAUGAGGCAUCACCUAACCUCACUCCACGCAAGCAUUUGGGACAUUGUUGAAUUUGGAGCGUAGGUACCUACGGUGGGGGGACGAGGACUACGACUCAGACGAGGUCGCCCAAAUAUGACACUUUAACUCCUAAGCAACUACUAUACUCCUCGCCUCUCUAUGUCGGGAGGAGUAUAAUAAGGUGCAAGGGUUAAAGAGCGCCAAGGAGAUUUGUGACGUCAUUAAGACCGCGCACGAAGGGGAUGAGGUGACCAAGAUCACCAAGCGGGAAACGAUCGAGGGGGAGCUCGGUCGAUUCGCCCUCAACCAAUAAGAGGAGCCACAAGCGAUGUACAACCGGCUUAAGACCUUGGUCAAUCAAGUGCGCAACCUCGGGAGCACCAAGUGGGAUGACCAUGAAAUGGUCAAGGUUAUUCUUAGAUCACUUGUUUUUCGUAAUCCCACUCAAGUGCAACUAAUCCGUGGAGACCCUAGAUAUAAACAGAUGUCUCCCGAGGAAGUAAUUAGCAAGUUUGUGAGCUUUGAACUUAUGAUCAAAGACUCCAAACUAUUGUCAAUUUGGAGCAAGGCGCCACCUCAACACCCGAGGUGCAUCCCAUCACAUUCAAAGCGAUGGAAGAGAAGAAAGAGGAGUCUACAUCAAGUAGGCUUCCCAUCGACGCCUCCAAGCUCGACAACGAGGAAAUGGCGCUUAUCAUCAAGAGCUUUCGCUAAAUCCUCAAGCAAAGUAGGGAGAAAGAUUACAAACCCCGCUCCAAAAGGGUGUGCUACAAAUAUGGUAAGCCCGGUCAUUUUAUUGCAAAAUGUCUAGUGAUAGUGAUAGGAGCGAAGACAAGAAGGGGAAGAAGAAGGAGAAGAAGAGAUACUACAAGAAGAAGGGCGGCGAUGCCCACGUGUGUCGGGAAUGGGACUCCGAUGAGAGCUCCACCGACUCAUCCUCCGACGAGGAUGCUGUCAACAUCGCCGUUAACAAGGGACUCCUCUUCCCCAACGUCACCCAUCUAUGACCACCUUUGAGUUUUUGAAUGUUGUUGCUACCCCAAUCUCUCUGCAACUGUUGCCAACAAACUCCCACCUGGCUCUAGACUAUGCACCUUUCUUGUGAGAAACAUCUAGGCCCCUAAGUAGUCUUUUGGUAAUUAAUGACAAUUAUAUGUGGUUUAACAUAUUCUUGGAGAAAAAAAGAAUGUAGGAUAGACUACUGACAGUUGAUCUACUUUAAAAAUCUUGGAGACUUUGGUAUGGAUUGUGGAAUAGCUCAAAAAAGGUAAUUGAUAGGUGUUUAAUUUUGCCGGUCAAGAGAUGAUUAGAAAAGUAAAACAACCAGAUUAGUAGACUAGAUAGUCGUAAUAUCAAGAGGGGUCAAUAAUGUUUACGUGAUGUGAAACUUAGUGCCUCAUAGAGCAUAUAAUUGAUGCAUGUGCAUGAGAGCUAAUAGUGCUUUCGAAAUUGCGAAAGAAAAACCUUUUCAAAAGUAAAUUUGAAGGGCUUAUUUUUUGAUCCACGGACCGUCCAGGCCAGACCAUCCGGGAACUAAUAGAGAGGUCUGCAUAUUGGGGUUGUUUCUGUGUGGUUUGGGCAGUUUGUACUGCAGACCGUCUAGGGCAAGUGGUUGGACCGUCCGACAGCAUUGGUCAGAAGGGUCUCAUUUUGGCUAAGCCCCUGGUGCGCUGUGCAGACCGUUUGGCCGAGGGGCACGGACUGUCCGCAACAAACUUGAGUAUAUUUGCGUUGAGCACCGAAUUGAGCAUGCGGACGGUCCGGCCCUGAGGCCGGACGGUCCGCGGUCCGGACGGUCCGCGCCUGGGGGCCGGACGGUCCGCGCGUGCGCAGAGCAGAUUAGGGUUCUGAGUUUUGUGUUACGGUUGUUAGCUAAAAUCACAGGAAAAGCUCGGAAAUUAGUUUGUAAAGGGUCCAACCCCCCUCCUCUAUAAAUAGAGAGGUAUACGGCCGAUUUGUAAUGAUCAAUCGAAUCAAUACAACUUCUAUUUCGCAUUUUACCUUAGGAGUAGUUCUAGUUUAGCCCUAGUUUAGCCUUCCAAUCCCCAAAUUCUCCGCCUCUCCUCGACUCUACGUCGAUUAGAGGAGUCUAGGUCGGUCUACCCGAGCCUAGACGCCACCUAGGAUCUCUCCUCCCUGACGGGGUCCCUCCCGGGAGCGAGAUCCAGGCGCCGCCGGCGAUCCUCCGCCGCCCCUGCGCACGCGCGGACCGUCCGGCCCUAGGGCGCGGACCGUCCGGCCGUCAGGCAUGGAACCCGAGCUCCUGCACCAGGUCACGGACCGUCCGCGCCAGACCAAAGAGCACCACCGCCUCGCGCCAGGUCGCGGACCGUCCGGCCCUGGGCCGCGGACCGUCCGCACCUGACCAGAGAGCACCGCCGCUGGUUCUCUUGAGUAAUUGGCGCCUCCAAAAAGGUGUCAACAUACUUUUUGGCGACUCCGCUGGGGAACACACAUAUAGACCUAUCAAAUCGGCCCUCAAUGGUCGGUUCAAGGGAUAGCUCUGAUAUUUCUCCAAGCAACAUCAUAGAGCCGACUUGGGAAACCUUGCCGGCUGACGAGCAGCUCCAGUUCGAGGAGCACAAGGAGCGGAUGAUCCAGGAGGCAAAAGCAAAGUUCUUGGCCAACUUCAAAGUGGACAGGAACAACAAUGUCGUCCGACAUCGGGCGACGGAUCCGGCUUCGCUCCAACCCACGCCAGAUAUCCCCAAUGUAAGUAAUACCAACGAUCUGCAGUCUCUUAGAAAUUAUGUAGAAGAUCAGCGUGAACAAAUGCAGAACAUCAUAGGGGGUAUGCAAAGCGAUCUUAAGAGACUAGUACGUGCAUUUGAUAAAUCUAGUAUCACAAAUUUUCCUUCGCAUGAGGUUGAGUUAGGAGGUAACACGUGUAACACAUCGGCUACAGGUUGUCACGACCAGUCACAACCCCUUUAUGGGAUGCCGAUGGACACAUACCCUGAGCAACCGCAAAUCGGCAGCAAAUCAGUCGAUCUGCGCAUGCCCAGACCGUCCGCACGUGAGCGCGGACCGUCCGGACCAACAACAGUCGGGCCGGUUUUUAAUGAGUUACCUAGAUAUGCGCCCGAACCACCACACACGACACAGAAUCUAAACUACCCAGUCGGACCGUCCGCGUACAACGAUGGACGGUCCGCACAUAAUCACGGACGGUCCGGGCCAAUGUCCAGACAGUCCGCACAUGAGUCUUUUGAGGAGGAUUAUUACCUGAAUCCUCGCCCGUCCCAGCAACACUUCCCAUCACACUAUGCAAUGCACCAGCCCAUUAAUUCAGGAUCCAGAGCCCAGGAAAGCUUUCCGGCCCCACCUAGAAGGCCGGAAAGAAACGAUCAAACCUAUGAGCCAUAUAGGGCAAAUGGAAAUGCACCACAUAACUCAAAACAAAGGGGGGAAAGACAACAUGCUAAUAUCCAGCCAACCCCACUUAUGUUUGACCAGAGAGCCGGUGGUCUCGCACCGGCUGCCAUUGAUAUAGUAAGGGAAGAAAUAGCCGGGGCAUUCCGAGAUAAGCUCGGAGUAAGCAUGGUCCCUGGGGGGCAAUCAUAUCGGAAACCUUAUGACAGCCGAUUUGAUCACCACCCAUACCCACAGGGAACCAGGAUACCCGAAUUCACAAAAUUUUCGGGUGAUCAAGGAAAGAACACACGUGAACACAUAGGCCAAUUUUUAGCACAAUUAGGAGAGUUGGCUGACACAGAGGCAUUUCGCGUACAUUUAUUUUCAUUAUCUUUAACAGGAACUGCGUUUGCAUGGUACGCCACUUUACCUCCUAAUUCCAUUUCAUCAUGGGGGGAUUUAGAACAAAAAUUUCAUGAUCAUUUUUUCUCCGGUGACUAUGAGUUGGAUUUGGUAGACUUAGUGUCAUUACGACAAGCAAAAGAUGAACCGGUUAAUGAUUACAUCCGGAGAUUCCGAGAUACAAGAAACUGAUGCUUCCAAAUUCAUUUAGCAGAAAAACAGCUAGCAGGAUUAGCCUUUAAUGGUUUACGAUAUUAUUUAAAAGAAAGAUUAGAAGGCAUCCAAUUUUUUACGCUAGCACAGUUACACCAGAGAGCUUUGGCUUGCGAAAGCCGGAGCAAAGAAACUGCUAAAACAAUGCGUCACAACGUACAUAUAGUAGAAUGCGACCAAAGUAGCUCGGAUGACGAAUCAGCGGAAGUGUAUGCUGCUGAAAUGGUUUGGCCAAAACAGACCAAAUCUUCGGCUUGUCCCUCCUUGCAGCCAGUUCAAAAGAAACGGCAAGAGGAGGUUAAGUUUACGUUUAAUGUCGGUAAGUGUGAUAAAAUAUUUGACGAGUUACUCAAAAAUGGCAAUAUUAAAAUAAAUCACACUGUUCCAUCCGCCGACGAGCUAAAACGUCGUGCGUACUGUAAGUGGCAUAACUCAUUUUCUCAUGCCACUAAUGAUUGUAAUGUAUUUCGGCGACAGAUUCAAUCGGCCAUUAAUGAAGGACGAUUGAAAUUUCAGGAAAUGCAGGUGGAUACAGAGCCCUUUCCGAUGAACAUGAUUGACUUCGAGGGCAAGAAAGUCCUAGUUCGGCCAAACACAGCCGAUAAAGACAAAGGCAAAGAGACAAUCAUCGGCAAUGCUAAGGAGGCCGAUGAGGAUUGUAAAGUUUCUUGCAGGAAAGUGGUGGCCGAGAAGACUCCCGAUGGAGGGGAGACCCUAAAGGUGACCAUCACAGUCUCCAGUGCUGGGGGGCAAGCGCAGACAGGGAGACAGACGCAGGAACCCGUGCUGCGUAUCCCGGACGGUCCGGCACGUAGGCGCGGACGGUCCGGGACCCCACCGGACGGUCCGGAGAGCUCCGGCGGACGGUCCGGCCGUACUCAGGAUUCACAACGUCCACGUACUUUCAAACCACCACGACCAGAGAUAGGUACGUGGAAAACAAAUACAUUCAAGGCAGCUGGUCGGUUGGUUAAAGCCGACCCAACUUUUGAUCAAUUAUUGUCUAAAUACGUAAAAAAGAAGGCCGGCCCCAGUGACCGGCCAGCAAAGCGACCCCGCUCACCCAUUCAUGAGCAGCGUCAGGUCAGGCCGAUUGGACCACCCCACCAAUCGGAAGAAAUGAAAGGUCAUACUGUACAAGUGAGACCUAACGUACCUGCAUGGACACCUCCACCUCCAUAUCCACCUAUGCCAUAUCCAUACACAUAUUUACCUUCGCCAUAUGUCCCAAAUCAAAUGUGGGGCAUGCCACCAUAUCCAUUUGGGAUGCCACAGUACCCCGCCUGGGGGGCACCCCAAACAUCUGUUUUUGACAGGUUGACGCCACCAGUACAAGACCGAUUGAGCACUGCUCAAUCCGGUCACCAGGCACAAACCCAACAGGAUUGCCGGACUACUCGGCCUUCCAGGCCGACCAAUCCGGCAGGGGGGCAUAUGCCUGCAGCAACUCAAAAAACAACAAAAAAGGACAUCAUCAAAAUAGGCACUGCAGAUGUUGUCAUACAAGAAGAUAAUAAAGGGCCGAUGAUUUUCGUCGAAUCGGCCAACACAACCGAAAAGGAUACGGCUACCAUCAAAACAACCGAUCCAAAAUACUCCAUGCCUCGAUGGUGCCCAGCGGGAUUGACACGAUCCCAAAAGAGAAAAUUACAGCGCUUAAGAGCAAAGGAGAGCCAGGAGAAGGAGGCGGAAAAGACAUUUAAUGACACACAUCCACUAUACCCGCCACCGCAAAAGAAAUGGAGACCGAAGGCCGUUGAGAAAAAACAAACGACCACAGAAAUAGAAAGUCAAUCUGCACCAGGCGCGGACCGUCCGACCCCUGCGCGCGGACCGUCCGCCGUUCACCAGGAAGUCUCUGGACAACCUGCACCAGGCGUGGACCGUCCGGCCCCCGCACGCGGACCGUCCGCCGUUCACCAGGAAGCCUCCAACGACACGACAACAUCAAUGGAAGAGGACGACCUGCUGGGAGAAGACCUGGUCGACUACGAGGCUUCUCCAGAACGCCCAGGUAUGGAUGUAAAUAUUAUUACAUUUUCUGCCGAUUGUACUAUUAUCGGCUACGAUGAACCUGUUGUUGCCCAGUUUGAUUUUGGUCCUAAAGAAGCCGCCUUUACUAAACCAAAAGAAUCGGUAAAUCAUUUAAAGCCGCUCUUCGUGCGCGGCCACAUUGAUGGGAUACCGAUUGCUAAGAUGUUGGUAGAUGGAGGGACGGCUGUAAAUCUAAUGUCUUAUUCAUUAUACAGAAAAUUAGGUAAACAAGAUGACGAACUUGUCAAGACCAACAUGACCCUCAACGGUGUUGGAACUGAUAGUUCGAUCAAAGCCAGGGGAGUCACGUCCGUUGAAUUAACCAUCAGAACUAAGACCCUUGCUGCUGCAUUCUUCGUCGCUGAUGUAGAAGGAAAUUACAGUUUAAUCCUAGGCAGAGAUUGGAUUCACGCCAAUCAAUGUAUACCUUCUACAUUACAUCAAAUGCUGAUACAAUGGGUAUGCGAUGACAUAGAACAAGUACAUGCUGAUGUAUCAGCCUGCAUCGCUGUGGCCGAUGCCCCUGUACUCUGGACUUAUGAGACUGCUACAUGUCUCACAGGAGUAGACUUUUCUGAUUAUCAAUUCAUAAGUAUAGAUAAGAAAGGUUUCAUUCCUAUAAUGCUAGAGUCGAUGGAGAAUCGGCUAAAUCCUAAAUAAAGUUAAAUGAUGAAUACACACAAAGUUCAUGAGUCUUUGGUCACGGACAGUUCGGCCGCCAAGGCCGGAUGGUCUGGUCUUUCACAAAAGAGUUCGGACUUUAAGACCGAACAUCUACCACAACGAAAAGACAGUAUAACGGAUGAUCCGGUCCCCGAGACCGGAAAGUCCGCCAUCACACAAAGAUCAUUUGAUUCCUCUGUGGGGGACAUGAUAGAGGAAUUCAGAGAUCUUGAUAAACUAGGACAGGGGUUUACAUCGGCUGAUCCUUUAGAGGAGAUUGACAUAGGAGAUGGUAAAACUCCAAGGCCGACUUUUGUAAACAAGACCCUGGAGACCGAUUCUAGAAAUGAGAUGAUCGGUCUAUUGAAGGAAUAUUCAGAUUGCUUUGCUUGGAAUUAUACUGAGAUGCCUGGAUUAAGCCGAGAGAUUGUAGAGCAUCGGCUGCCUAUUAAAUCUGGUUUCAGACCUUUCAAGCAAAGAGCUAGAACAUUUCGUCCGGAUCUUCUCCCACGCAUCAAGGACGAAAUCCACCGGCUGCUAGAAGCUGAUUUUAUCAGACCUUGCAGAUACGCAGAGUGGGUCUCCAAUAUUGUGCCGGUGGAGAAGAAGGAGGCAGGUAAACUUAGAGUAUGCAUUGAUUUUCGCAAUUUAAAUAGAGCAACUCCUAAAGACGAAUAUCCCAUGCCCAUAGCCGACACAUUAAUCAAUAAUGCAUCAGGAAAUAGAAUUAUUAGCUUCCUUGAUGGUAAUGCUGGAUAUAAUCAGAUUUUCAUGGCCGAAGAAGACGCGUCUAAAACGACCUUUAUAUGUCCAGGCUUCAUUGGUUUAUUUGAGUGGGUUGUCAUGACAUUUGGUCUGAAAAAUGCUGGUGCUACUUAUCAGAGGGCUAUGAAUUUGAUCUUCCAUGAAUUGUUAGGAAACACUGUGGAAGUUUACAUUGAUGAUAUUGUAGUCAAAUCGGCUGAGUUUAGUUCUCAUAUAGCUGAUUUGCGCAAGGCCUUUGAUAAAAUGUGUCAGUAUGGUUUGAAAAUGAACCCACGUAAAUGUGCUUUUGGAGUGUCGGCUGGUAAGUUUUUAGGAUUUGUCAUACAUGAACAUGGUAUAGAGAUAGACCCUGACCGAAUCAAGUCUAUUCGGAAUGUGGGGCCUCCGACCUGUGAAGUCGAGGUACGGAGGUUCCUCGGCAAGGUGAAUUAUUUACGAAGGUUUAUUUCUAACCUAGCCGAGAAGAUUGAUGCGUUUACCCCUAUUCUUCGGCUUAAGAAUGAUGCCGAAUUCGCUUGGGGGGCAGAACAGCAAGAAGCAUUUGAUCUCAUCAAAAAAUACUUAUCUUCGGCUCCUGUAUUAAAAGCACCACAAGCAGGAGUGCCAUUUCGAUUAUACAUUGCAGCUGAGGAUAAGGUCAUUGGGGCUGUUCUUACACAAGAAACUGAGGGGAAGGAGCAUGUGGUAGCAUAUCUAAGACGAAGGUUGGUGGAUGCUGAAACAAGGUACACUUUUAUUGAAAAGUUAUGCUUAUGCUUGUUUUACGCAUGCACCAAAUGUAGAUGUUAUUUACUGUCUAGUCAUUGCACUGUUUCUGGUCAAGCCGAUGUGAUCAAAUACAUGUUGCAUAACCCAAUUAUGAGUGGUAGAAUUGGUAAGUGGGCUUAUGCACUAAUAGAAUAUGACUUGGCCUACGAACCAUUGAAAUCUAUGAAAGGCCAAGUCGUAGCGGAUUUCAUUGUAGAACAUCGGGUUAAUGAUUUUCAUGAGCUAGACAUAUCAUACCUCACUAUUACUCCUUGGACUUUAUAUUUUGAUGGAUCGGUUUGCAAUGAAGGGCAAGGAAUUGGCAUUGUACUUGUUUCACCAAGUAAUGUCUCCUUUGACUUCUCUAGCCGAUUGAAAACUUAUUGCACUAAUAAUCAAGCUGAAUAUGAGGCCCUCCUAUUCGGUUUAGAACUUUUAAAUGGUAUGGGAGUAAGACAUGUGAUGGUAUUUGGUGAUUCUCAGCUGGUUGUCCAACAAGUGUUAGAAGAAUAUCAAUGUUUUGAUGGUACUCUAAAUAGUUACCUUGAGAAAUGUUGGAGCAUAAUCCAUUCUUUUGACGAAUUCAGUAUUCGGCAUAUCUCUAGAGUUGAGAAUCAUAGAGCUAAUGAUUUGGCACAAGAUGCAUCAGGUUAUCGGAUAAAGAGAGGGAAGUUUCACAAAGCUGAAAAUCUGAUAACCAGUGCAAAGCCAAAUUCCCAGGUCGCGGACCGUCCGCGUGAUGACGCCGGACCGUCCGGGGUUACCAGAAAUGUUCUUUUCAUUAAUUCGGCUGACAAUGAAGCCGAUGCAAGUGAUUGGAGGACACCUAUACUUAAUUAUUUACGAAAUCCUAAUAUCAGGACAGAUAAGAACAUUCGGCGAACAGCUUUCAAGUAUGUUUUGAUGAGUGAUGAACUUUACCGCCGAACAGUCAAUGACAUCCUGCUUAAGUGCUUGGGCCCAGAUGACGCUAUAUUAGCCAUGGCCGAAGUACAUGGGGGAAUUUGUGGUACUCACCAAUCAGCUCCAAAGAUGAAGUGGUUGUUGCGAAGGUCUGGUUUUUAUUGGCCUAGUAUGAUAGCUGAUUGUUUCAAGUACUACAAGGGUUGCCAAGUGUGUCAAAAAUUCGGCGACCUACAGUUGGUCCCUGCAGCCGAAUUACAUCCUAUCAUCAAACCUUGGCCGUUCAGAGGAUGGGGAUUAGACUUUAUUGGAGAAAUUCAUCCUUCAUCAUCAAAGGGGCAUCGGUUUGUGUUAGUUGCCACUGACUACUUCACCAAAUGGACUGAAGCCGUUGCUCUAAAGAACAUGACACACAAGGAGGUAAUUGAGUUUAUAACUGAGCAUAUCAUUCAUAGAUUCGGCAUUCCCCAGACCUUAACUACAGAUCAAGGUACUUCUUUUAUGUCAAAAGAGGUACGUGAAUUUGCUGAAUUAUACAUAAUUAAGAUGCUUAAUUCAUCUCCAUAUUAUGCUCAGGCCAAUGGUCAGGCCGAGUCUAGCAAUAGGACAUUGAUUAAUUUGAUAAAAAAGAAAAUAUCUGAUAAUCCUAAACAUUGGCAUAAGAUUUUGUCUGAGGCUUUAUGGGCUCAUAGAAUAUCUAAACAUAGGGCUACUAAAGUAUCUCCUUUUGAGCUUGUCUAUGGGCAGGAAACAGUGUUGCCUGUGGAAAUAAGUUUGAAUGCUAUCAGGUUCGCCAGACAAAAUGAUCUAACUGCUACCGAUUAUUAUGAUUCAAUGAUGGAUAAUAUUGAUGAGGUGACUGACAAAAGGAUGAUAGCUUUGGGAGCAAUAGAAAAGGACAAAAUCAUGGUAGCCAGGGCCUACAACAAGAAGGUCAAAGCAAAAUCAUUUCAAGUAGGGGACUUGGUGUGGAAGACCAUUCUGCCUCUAAGGAAUAAAGACCGGAAGUUCGGGAAAUGGUUACCAAGCUGGGAAGGCCCUUAUAAAGUAAAACAGGUGAUGUCUGACAACACCUAUUUGCUACAAACAUUACAAGGCAAGGACUUACCUAAGGCUUUGAAUGAGCGUUUUCUCAAACAGUACCAUCCUAGUAUGUGGCAGGAUGCCUAAGAGAACCGAUGUAAUCACAUCGAGUUAGUUGCUUUUGAUUUGCUCAGCUCCACCAAAAGGCAGGGGGUAUAUGUUGAGCACCGAAUUGAGCAUGCGGACGGUCCGGCCCUGAGGCCGGACGGUCCGCACCUGGGGGCCAGACGGUCCGCGCGUGCGCAGAGCAGAUUAUGGUUCCGAGUUUUGUGUUACGGUUGUUAGCUAAAAUCACGGGAAAAGCUCGGAAAUUAGUUUGUAAAGGGUCCAGCCCCCUCCUCUAUAAAUAGAGAGGUAUACGGCCGAUUUGUAAUGAUCAAUCGAAUCAAUACAACUUCUAUUUUGUAUUUUACCUUAGGAGUAGUUCUAGUUUAGCCCUAGUUUAGCCUUCCAAUCCCCAAAUUCUCCGCCUCUCCUCGACUCUACAUCGAUUAGAGAAGUCUAGGUCGGUCUACCCGAGCCUAGACGCCACCUAGGAUCUCUCCUCCCCGACGGGGUCCCUCCCGGGAGCGAGAUCCAGGCGCCGCCGGCGAUCCUCCGCCGCCCCUGCGCACGCGCGGACCGUCCGGCCCUAGGGCGCGGACCGUCCGGCCGUUAGGCAGGGAAUCCGAGCUCCUGCAACAGGUCGCGGACCGUCCGCGCCUGACCAGAGAGCACCGCCGCCUCGCGCCAGGUCGUGGACCGUCCGGCCCUGGGCCGCGGACCGUCCGCGCCUGACCAGAGAGCACCGCUGCUGGUUCUCUUGAGUAAUUGGCGCCUCCAAAAAGGUGUCAACAAUUUGCGCAAGGACUUUGUGUUUCAUGUUCACCUGGGGAUCGAUUCACACUUUGUUCGUGAGCGUAUUGGCGUGGACCAAAUCCAUGUUCACGUGCCUACAACAUCAAAGUAUGCAAGAUAUCUUCACCAAAGAUCUUCAUACAACCAUCUUCAAAUAGUUGGAGACCUCUACCAGCCAAUUAUAAUAAUAUACUGAUCGCGUGAGUUAGCUUCUGCUUUCACAAGCCAUCAUCAACUAGUAUAAUGCACAGCAUGAGGAGCAGAAAUCGUAAGCAUCAAGCUGGUCAGCUAACUAAUACGAUGUCUGCCAAAUGUGAUAGAGUUGCCGCAGCAAGGCGACAGAAAGCAUGAGUUGCAAGCGCUUGUUCGUGGCCUGAACCAAGCACGCAGCUACUCCAUCACGGCUAGUUUAGGAGUCAAAAACCGAAAGAGAUUGGAGGGACUAAAAUCUCUUUUUUAUUCUAAAUUAAAUAAGAAAAGAGAGUUUAAUCCCUUCAAUACUCUCCGGUUUUAUGUCUCCUAAGGCCUUGUUCGUUUAUGUCCGAUUGCACCUGUAAGGCCUUGUUCGUUUAUGUCCGAUUGCACCUGUGGAAAUCGUUCCACCUAAUCAAAUCUAUACUAUUUAUUAAGAAAGUAAGAGUAGUCUGUCGUUCUGCCCUCUCCCAUUCCGCGUGCAGAAUCUAUAUCUAUACUAUUGAUUAAGAAGGUAAGAGUAGUCUACCGUUCUGCCCUCCCGCGUUCUGCCCUCCCCGUUCCGCGCGUAAAAAAAAAUAAACCGUGGCUGUUGAGAGAUCGAACCUUGGAUCUAUUGAACAAAAUGCCUAUCCUUCCACCUUCUAACAAAUGUGACUCAUAUUGAAUUGUGUACAACUUCAACUAAGACGUUUUUUAUGUUUAACCUGUCUUCCACUCUGUACGCUCACUGAGUCUAGAAAAACAUUUAUAGCUUGGCCCCUGAUUUUUCUGGAAUUUGGGACGCAGUCCAGGAAAUAAAGAAAAUAGGGAAAAGGAGUUUAGAAAUUGAUUUUUAGUUUAAAAAUAAUUGCAGAAACCCAUUUAAUUCAUGGAAAUUUCAUAUUAAAUCCAAAUGAGUUCAUUCCAAUUUCUAUAAUUCUAUAAUAUUAUUUUUUAUCACAUAAUACCUCUGUUUUGUUAUGAAAACAACAAUAAAAUUGAUUUCCUAAUUAAUCCUAUAUCAAAUAUAUAGAAACUUUGAAAAUUCGUAACUUCCCCAUUUUUAAUUCCAAAUUGAAUCGUUCCAGUUGUGUUAGUCUCGUAUGAAUAUUUACUACGCAGUAACAACAUUGAUUAUACCAUGUUUCAUACUUUUAUAAUUAGAUAUUUAUUUAUCCUAUGUUAAUUGGGUUAAUCUAUGUCUAUUGGAUUAAUUUAUUUAAUAUAUUAAUAUAGUAUUUGUCGGGGACCAUAAUUAGGGGUAUCCCCAAGACUCCUAAUCUCAGCUGGUAACCCCAUCAGCACAAAGCUGCAAAGGCCUGAUGGGCACAAUUAAGGUCAAGGCUCAGUCCACUCAAGGGACACGAUCUCGCCUCGCCCGAGCCCAGCCUCGGGCAAAGGCAGCCGACCCCGGAGGAUUCACGUCUCGCCCGAGGGUCCCCUCAAGCAACGGACACACCUUCGGCUCGCCCGAGGCCCAGUCUUCGCGGAGAAGCAACCUUGGCCAGAUCGCCACGCCAACCGACCGUAUCGCAGGAGCAUUUAAUGCAAGGAUCGCCUGACACCUUAUCCUGACGCGCGCUCCUCAGUCGACAGAGCCGAAGUGACCGUAGUCACUUCGCCACUUCAUUGACCGAACUGACAGGAAAACAGCGUCGCCUGCCUCGCUCCGCCUGCCGUGCCACUCGACAGAGUGAAGCUGAUAGCAGCUAAGUCCAGCCUCGGGCGCCAUAGGAAGCUCCGCCUCGCCCGACCCCAGGGCUCGGACUCAGCCUCGACCUCGGAAGACGGACUCUGCCUCGCCCGACCCCAGGGCUCAGACUCAGCCUCGACCUCGGAAGACGGACUCCGCCUCGCCUGAUCCUAGGGCUCGGACUCAGCCUCGACCUCGGAAGACGGUCUCCGCCUCGCCCGACCCCAGGGCUCGGACUCAGCCUCGACCUCGGAAGACGGACUCCGCCUCGCCCGACCCCAGGGCUCGGACUCAGCCUCGACCUCGGACGACGGUCUCUGCCUCGCCCGACCCUCGGGCCCAGACUCGACCUCGACCUCGGAGGAGCCUCCGCCUCGCCCGACCUCGGGCUCGGACCUGCCACGACACUGGGGGCGCCAUCAUUACCCUACUCCUAGCUAGCUCAGGCUACGGGGAACAAGACCAGCGUCCCAUCUGGCUCGCCCUGGUAAACAAAUAAUGAUGGCACCCCUCGUGCUCCAUGACGACGGUGGCUCUCAGCCCCUUACGGAAGCAAGGAGACGUCAUCAAGAAUCCGACAGCUCCGACAGCUGUCCUCCCACAGAGCUCAAGCACUCCUCCGACGGCCACGACAUUGCAUGAACAGGGUGCCAAAACCUCUCCGGCUGCCACGAUGGCAUGUACUUAGGGCUCUAGCUCCUCUCUGCUAGACACGUUAGCACACUGCUACACCCCGCAUUGUACACCUGGGCCCUCUCCUUACGCCUAUAAAAGGAAGGUCCAGGGCUCUCGUACGAGAAGGUUGGCCGCGCGGGAGAACGGGCCGACGCACAGGGCUCCCUCUCUCUCCCACGCGGACGUUUGUAACCCCCCUACUGCAAGCGCACCCGACCUGGGUGCGGGACAACACGAAGGCCGCGGGUUUCCCCUUUGCUGUUUCUCACCCCCUUUUGUGCUCCGUCUCGCGCCGACCCAUCUGGGUUGGGACACGCGGCGACAAUUCACUCGUCGGUCCAGAGACCCCUCGGGGUCGAAAUGCCGACAUUUGGCGCGCUAGGUAGGGGCCUGCUGCGUGUUGACGAACAGCUUCCCGUCAAGCUCCAGAUGGGUAGUCUUCAGCAACCUCUUCAACCCGGGAUGAUGCUUCGUUUCGGGAGUCUGGAGUUCAUGUCCCUCGACGACAGCUACGACAUGAUACUCCUUCCUCCGCCGCGCGACGACGAUAAUGGCGGCCGUCAGCCCGCCCGCCGGCGGCGGAAUCGACGACGUCUUCCCCUCGUGGCGGAAGAGCAACAUCCGGGUCUGUCCCGUCACCUUCCCCGCCGACGGAGGAGGAGGCGGGGCAGGCAUGGCCAAGCAGGGGGCGACACCUCGUCGGCUGUCGAGCGAGUCGGCGGCACCGGCGCCCCAGUGGGGGACAUGUCGGACGUCGACCUCGCGUCUGAGAAGAAGACGAGCGCCUUUCCCCGCAACACGCCAACUCCAAGCAGACGGACGACGCCAGCACGCUCGCGAAGGACAUGCUGGGCUUUAGCCUCGUACCUAAGACAACGGUGCAGUCCGCCCCUGACGUGACUUCGUCACCACCCGUCGAUCAAGAGGUACCAUCCGUUUCUCGUUCCAUGCCUUUUAGAUCCAGCUGCGACCCACCAAGCGACCCCGCUUCGGUGGACGCUUUCAUAAAGGCAUGUCCAAACCCUCCGGGGUAUCAUAUGCGGUCACCCUGGGACCGGCUGACGGCUGUCUCGACCUACGGGCCUCUGGGUUCCGAGGAAGACGACGAGCCCGACUCUGGUUGGGAUUUCUCCGGGCUCGAUAACCCUAGUGCCAUGCGGGACUUCAUGACCGCAUGUGACUACUGCCUCUCUGAUUGCUCCGAUAGCAGCCACAGCCUCGGCGACGAGGACUGUGGCCCAAGUCGUGAAUGCUUCCACGUCGAUCUAGGGGGUCUCGACGAAGGCGACCAUCUUGGUAUGCCGGAGGACGGUGAUCCCCCUAGGCCUGCGCCUCGCGUUGACAUCCUUCGGGAGCUAGCUGUGGUCCCAGUCCCUGCGGGGGGUCAGGACGCACAGCUCGAGCAAAUCCGCGAGGUACAGGCCAGGCUCGACGAGGGAGCAGGACAACUUGUGCAGCUUCGGCAAAAUAUCGAGCAGGAGUGGGCAGGCCGAGCAUCGGCCGGAGAAGCGUGUCACCUGGCCCAGGACGUCCAGCACCGCAUCACCGACGAUGUCAGGGCAAGGUUGCCUCCGGCUUCCAGUAGGGUCGGCCAGAACCUGGCCGCAGCAGCGAUACUACUCCGAGUGAUGCCGGAACCAUCCACCACCGAGGGGCGGCGUAUCCAGGGAGAGCUCAAGAAUCUCCUGUAAGAUGCCGUGGUCCGACGGGCCGAAAGCUCUGCCUCCCGAAGGCAGGGGUACCCCCCGGAGCAUCGCGCCGUGACUUCCCGAUUCAUGCGGGAAGCCUCGGUCCACACCGGGCGAACGCGGAACUGUCGAGCCCCGGGUCGCCUCGGCAACGAGCACCGCCGCCGCGACUGUCGAGCCCACCUCGACGAGAGGGUACGCCGAGGCUACCACCCCAGGCGUGGGGGACGCUACGACAGCGGGAGGAUCGGAGCCCCUCGCCCGAACCACCCAGUUCGCGA
rnacentral:lncRNA from 1 species